CGAAACAAAGUUUUAAAGGAUCGAAAAACCACAUAAGAAAACAAGAGAAGGGAAGAAGUAAAAAAAAAAAAAAUGAAUAAUAAGAUGAGGUGUGUGCUAGCAAUUCUGCUAGCAAUGACUUGCAUCUCCGUGAAUGGAGAGGAUCCUUACCUGUUCUACGAAUGGAAAGUUACUUAUGGCACCCUUUCUCCUCUUGGCGUGCCCCAAAAAGUCAUUUUAAUCAACAACCAAUUCCCAGGACCUAGAAUUAAUGGAACAUCCAACAACAACGUUCAUGUAAACGUGUUCAACCAAUUGGACGAACCACUCCUUUUCACAUGGAAUGGUAUCCAACAAAGGAAGAACUCGUGGCAAGAAGGAACCCUUGGGACCAAUUGUCCAAUUCCCCCCGGAACGAAUUACACCUACCGUUUCCAGGUUAAGGAUCAAAUCGGUAGCUACUACUACUACCCUACCACCGGCUUGCUUCGUGCUGCUGGUGGUUAUGGUCCCCUUACUGUCGUAAGUCGUGCAUUGAUCCCUGUCCCAUUUGAUAAACCUGAGGAUGAUUACACGGUCCUUGUGGGGGAUUGGUACACCAAGAGCCACACUGAAUUAAGAAGCAUGUUGGAUACCGGACGCGGUCUUGGAAGGCCACAAGGCUUGGUUAUCAAUGGCAAAAGCGGGAAAGGCGACGGUAAGGAUGAGCCAAUGUACACAUUGACCCCCGGAAAGACAUACAGGUUUAGGUUUUGCAACGUUGGCAUGAAGGAUUCUAUCAAUGUUAGGUUCCAAGGCCACACAAUGAGACUCGUUGAGAUCGAAGGUUCACACGUCGUGCAAAAUGUGUACGAUUCCCUAGACAUCCACUUGGGACAGUGCUUAUCCGUUUUGGUAACCGCUGAUAAGGAACCCAAGGACUAUUUCAUCGUGGCCUCCACAAGGUUCACUAAGGAACCACACACGGCCACCGCCACUAUCCGUUAUGCCAACAGUAAGUCCCCCGCCUCCCCUCAAUUGCCUAAGGCACCAGAAGGGUGGGAAUGGUCCCUUAACCAAUUCCGCUCAUUCCGCUGGAACUUGACUAACAGCGCAGCUAGACCUAACCCUCAAGGAUCUUACCACUACGGAAAGAUCAACAUCUCAAGAACCAUCAAGCUAGUCACAUCAGCAGGCAAAGUUGACGGUAAGCUCCGUUACGCCAUAAACGGCAUCUCCCACGUGGAUCCCCCUACACCAAUCAGAUUGGCACAACAUUAUGGUGUUUCGGACAAGGUGUUCAAGUAUGACUUGAUCAAGGAUGACUACAAGCCUACAGGGGAAGAUGGACAAGACAAAAUCACACUUGGACCUAGUGUGAUCAAUGGCACCUGGAAAAGCUUUGUGGAGUUCGUUAUUGAGAACCCUGGCAAAAGUGUUCAAUCUUUUCACAUGUCUGGAUAUGCAUUCUUUGCUGUAUCGUAAGUACCUACCUCCUAAUCCUUUAUCAAAUUCAUAAUUAUAUGAUAUCGACUAGUCACCUUAUAAAUAUCUUUUACACCGUCAAUGCAGGAUUGAGCCGGGAAGGUGGUCACCAGAGAAGAGAAAGAACUACAACUUGCUUGAUGCUGUUAGCAGGAACACGAUCCAAGUUUACCCAAAUUCAUUUGCAGUUAUAAUGACUGCUCUUGAUAAUGCUGGAUUAUGGAAUAUUAGGGCCAAUUCAAUGGAGAAGCAUUAUUUGGGACAACAAUUUUAUCUGAGUGUCCAUGCAGCAACAGUAUCACUUCAAGAUGAAUACAACAUGCCUGACAAUAACCUCCUAUGCGGUAUAGUUAAGGACUUGCCUAAGCCUAUUCCUUUCAGAGCUUAAUUUUAAAAAAAUAGUAAUUCAUAAUAAUAAUAAUUUUAUAUUUAGUGAAUUUUAUAUACAUUUUUGAGCAAAGAAAAAGCAUGUAAAGAGGAGAUCAUGGUGCUAAGCUUUUUCACCAAGUGGAACAGAAGUUCUUUUUUCUGUUUAUUUGUAAUUUCUGUUUUUAUGCCUUGAUCAAUGAAUGUAUUAAUCAUUUUCUGUAUGCAUUCAUGCAUGAAAAAAAUUUGAGAGCAUUUUGUUUAAUAUUCUUUGGUGUAUUUUCACUUUCUCUUCUUUGUUCUCCCUUAUUCUCUUUAUUUUCGAAUAUAUCGUUUAAAAAUACUACUACUACUACUAAUAAUAGUAAUAAUAAUUCUAAAAAAACAGUGAAUUCGGCUAGCUAUUUAGAUAAAAAAUCUCAUAUUUCUGGUACUAGUUGCUAGGGUAUUCAAAGUUGAAAAUUGAUAUAAUGUAUGUUUCUUUUUAUAUUUACAUUUUAUCAAUAUUGAUAUAAUGUAUGCUUCUACAAAUGGCUUUCAGUCUCUAGCUUAACUAGAAUCUUGAGUAAAAAUAUUGUCUUUACAAUUAUAUUCAACAAAUCAAACUUAUAAGAGAGUUUAUACUACUGAUAAUCGCCGCGCUUUGCGCAGUUAGAAAUAACAUUAGUAAAUUUAUUUUAAUAAUAUAUAUUGUCGCAGAUUAUUAUAAAUAAAAUUAUUUAUUUUUGUCUUACAUCUGUGAUAAUUAAUUGUAUAUAGUUAAUUAAAUCACAAAUUCCUCCUUGUAUUUAUGCAUUUUGUUGGAUAAUAGAAUUUUUGUUUCUCUAUAAUUUUCUUUUAUAUAUUUAAAUGAAAAAAAGAUGAGAUAAGAAUUUAAAAAAAUUAUGAUCAAUGAAUACAAAUUAAAAGAAAAAUUUUUAGUUAUUGUUUUGUACUUCGUAAUUAGUUAUGUCAACUAUUAUUUCAUAAUUAUGUUUUAGUGUUAGUUCUAGUUAUCCAUAGUUUAAAGAAUUUGAUAUAAUAAAAAUUAGCAUUGCUUCGAGUUUGAAAGUUCUAUCUCAGCAAGAAAGAUUGCAAGUUCUAUUUCACUAAGAAAGGAGCUAUAAAUAACAAAUAUUGUUAUCCUUCAACCUUUCGUUGUUGAUUGUUGCUCACGUAAAAAGGACCUCCCUCCCCCCACUCAUUUGAGAAGUUUAGAAAAGUUAGAUAACGUUAAAAAAAUACUUUAAAAAUUGUGCAAUAUAUUUAGAAGAAAACAUAACAAUGCCAUUAGUUGCUAUCUACUUCUCUUUCAUCCUCUUCCGUAGUUAAAAAGUUGGGUCUACGUGUUUUAUACACCACGCUCAUGAACUAAUGAAAUAAACUACAUAAAACUUUAAAAAAGACAAAGCGUUCUAUGUGACAUGAAAGGAUAUCAAAACUAAUGAAAUCUCCCCUUUUAAUGAAAGACUAUCUAACUUCAUGUACAUCAAAUCCUUUUAUAAGAUGAUGAGAAUACACUUAGAAAUUAAAGAUAUAAAAUAAAAUAAAAAGAAAGAAAGUAAGCAAAAGAUAAAAAAGGAAAUAACACACCAUGAGAUCCCAAAAUUAUAUGAAGAUAUACUGAAAUAUAAUGUUAGGACACCAUAAUAGUCACAUAUUAUGUAUUUAUAUUUGAUUAGAAUUGUAUAGUUUAUCUCUUAGAGAGUUUGUGUUCAACUAUACCAUGUAUAGCAUCUUGUAUAUAUUGAGGCAAAAGCCCUCUUUAAACAUAAUUGAGUGAAAACCUUUUCAUGGUAUCAAACCCUUGCAAAGACUCACGUCCCACAAUAGAACUUCCCUCAAUUACCAGUAUCACCACACAAACCCCUUUCCAGAAUUUUUCGUCGCUUGCAACCAACGUUAAUCAGUCUCAUCUUCUCAAAUUAGACCGUCAUAACUAUAUUGUGAGAAAAUCACAAAUUCUCCCAGUUCUAAGGGGUAACGAACUCGAGGGAUAUGUGGAUGGUACGCACAAGUGCCCUCCAAAGUUCACUCCAAAUAGCUCAUCUGAAACAACCUCAACUGACGGGGUUAUCAACCCAGCGUACAGUUUAUGGAUCAAACAAGACCAACUUUUAUUGAGUUGGAUUCUCUCAACCCUCACCGAAAGGAUUUUAGCCCAAGUAGUCGGUUGUACAACAUCUCAGGCGGUUUGGAAAACACUUGAGAAGAUGUUUGUAUCGCAAUCCAAGGCUAGGAUAAUGCAACUUGUAGACACGUAAUUUCGUCCCUUCACAACUUAAUUUUACCGUUUACCUCGUCUUACCACGUAUCCUAUCCAGGUGGUAAUUUUCUCACAAGAAAAUUAAAAUAAAUAACCACCUCAUUAUUUUAUUUUUUUAUUUUUAUUUUUAUCCCAUUUAACAAAUUCUAACAAAUUUUAUAUUCUUUUAAACAUCCCAACAACCUUUCUAAUUAAAAGAGGACACAUCACCCCCCAAUACCCUCCUACCCUACUUAUCCAUGUGAUCCCCCUCCUCACAUUUCUUGUCCAAAAAUCUCUCCAAUUAAUAGAGGACACAUCACCCCCCCAAUACCCUCCUACCCUAUCUACCCAUGUGACCCCCUCCUCAUAUUUCUUAUCCAAAAAGAAAAAAAGGGACCUCAAUUUCAUUCAUAAUAUACUCCCUAAAAUACUCACCCCCAUCGGUCACUCACAAUGGGAUGAACAAACACAUACUCACCAUUAACACAACCUCACACACCCAUCCACCAUGGACGAUACACACAGAUAUGCUUAGAGGUUGAGAGAGAGCAUAGAGAAGGAAUUCGCGCAUAGAGAAUGGGGGAGAGAAACAAAGAGAGAGGGAGGAUACAAAAAUAGAAAUUACCAUUUUUUCUCUUCUUUUCUGUUGGUUCGCAACACACAAACACAUAUACACAUACUAAGUCGCACACACACACGCACUCUAUCACCAGAAAUACACACAUAUGCACAUAGUGAGGGCAAAAUCAAAAAAAUGGAGGGAGCUUGAGAUUCCGGCGAGAAACUGUGAAGCCAGCGCAGAUCUGUCAUAGAUCUUGAGUUUUUCUGGUGAACCUUUCAUCGAAAAUAGUUUACAGGUCAUCGUUUGUUCGGUUCAAUCCCAAAAUUCAGAGAUCCCAUCAGUUUUCUUCAAUUUUUGGGUAGAUUCGAAUGGAAAAAUGCUAAGGAUUACUGAAAUUCGACCCUUUUUCCAGUUGUUCGUGCUACUGUUUGUGUUUGCUGGAAUUUUGAUCAGGUAUUUCUUCUAUUUUCUCAUCAUCUUGGUCUCGAUUAUUCAUCUGUAUUUUAGUAGAUUGUUCGUUUCAAUUGGAAUUCGGGUUAUUGUAUUUGUGGACUAUUUUUGACUGAUUUGGAGAGUCAACAUUUCAUUGGUAUUCUUCGAGGUUUCGGAACGGCUCUUAUUCUCUUAUUCUAAUUUUUAUGCGAUUAAUUUGUUGAAUUGGCUAUGUUUGAGAUUGGAUGAUUUGGUGGAUGUUUGAUGUCAUUUAUGUGGAAUUCGUAUGAUCACCAUGCUUUAAUUAUCAUUAUGUCUAUGUUGUUGAUAUUGAAUUCCGAGUUGAAUAAUUGAAUUGAUAGUUAAAGCAUGAAAAGGGAAUUUGGGGUGGAAUUACGAGAUUGAUAAAAAGGGAGAAUUUGGUCAAUGUUAGUUUGUUGUUGUUUUGCUUAAUUCGCAAGCAAUUUUAAGUUUGUGAAUUCGAUAGUAUCAUGAUAGGUCAAUUUGGAUAGGAAAAUGUUUAGGUUCGGGUAGGCAAAUUUAGGAAUAGGUGAUUUCGUUGAAUAUUUGAAUAUAGAGUAUUUGGUUGAAUGUUGGAAUAUGCGUGUGAAUGUUUCUUCCUAGUUUAUCGCAUCAGAUUUGGGUGUAUUCAUUUGGCCGGGGAAUGCCCCGAGGUUUCAUGUAUUUAUUCACCGGGGGAUGCCCUGUAGUAUUAUGUUGGCGGUAGACAUUUGUGAUGAAAGCCCGAGGCAUCAGGUAGAGCAUUGAAGCAUAGUUUAGGAUUAGUGUAGGUUAGCGUAGGUUUAUUUUCACAUUUUUAUUUUGGACUGUAUAAUUAGACUGGACACUAAAUUUUGGAUUGUUUUGUUUUGUUUUGCUUGAUUGAUUGUUUUACGUGCUUUGUAUGGUUUAUACAUUCGUAGUGUCGAAUUAGCCGAUAUGCUUCACCAAGAGACCAUGGUCAAACCACGGGACCGAGGGGUGCCUAACACCUUCCCCUCGGUCAACAUAAUUCCUUAGUUGGAAUCUCUGUUCGCGGAUCAAUUUCUAGAGUCAAAUUAUUUUGAAAAGGAUUCCCCAAGGUAACUUGGCACACCCAAUUUAUGUCAAGUGGCGACUCUGAGUUAAAAAAGGUAAAUAAUUCUUUUCGAAACAUAUUUUCAAUCUCGUCACUUUAAAAAUAAAAACCCUUCCAGACUUAAAAUAAUUUUUUUUAGAGUUAAAAAAGGGGUGUGACACAACUAAGGUUGCAAUUACAAACCACAAAGAAAGGAAACUCAUCCAUGGUAGAAUAUCUUUAAAAAAUGAAGACUUCUGCCGAUAAUGUUGCGGUUGCAGCACACCCGAUCACUAAUGAUGAUCUUGUCUUAUAUAUUCUUGGAGGACUUGGACAAGAAUAUGAUGCUAUGGUUGUUUGGUCACUACUAGGGCCGAGUUAAUUUUAUUAGCCGAUCUUCAUGGCUUGCUUUUAAUUCAAGAGUAUCGUUUGGAGAAAAUGACAAGUACAGAACAAUGAUUAAGACAAGCCAACUUGUCUACUAGACAAUCCAAUAAUACUAAGAAUGAUAACUCCUUUAAGAAGCCUACUAAUGUCAAUAACAAUUAGGCUUAUGGUGGCAGAUCUGGACGAGGACGAGGACGAGGACGAGGACGAGGACGAGGACGAGGACGAGGACGAGGUCGAGGUCGAGGUCGCAAUGCCAACUCAUCCAACCAAAAUCAAUUUCAAGUUUUCCAUAAAUUUGGUCACUCCGCCUUGGUUUGCUACCAUCAUUUUGACCAUGCCUAUAAGCUUCUUCCAAAUCGCACAUGGAUGCUCUCAUUGCACAAAUUUCUAUGGUUGGAGACUCAAAUUGGUAUCCAAAUUCUAGGGCUACUCAUCAUUUAACUAACGAUAUGCAGAAUAUGGUGGUACGAGGAGAGUAUAUGGGAAACGAUCAAAUUCAUAUUGGUAAUGGCACAGGUUUGACAAUUUCUCACUUUGGUAAUGCUAUCUUAUUUACUGUUAGUUGACCUUUACAUUUAUCUAAUGUAUUAUUGGUGCCUAAAAUUACCAAGAAUUUCCUUAGUGUAGCAAAGUUCACUUCUCAUAAUGAUGUUAUAUUUGAGUUUCACCCUCGUUUUUGUCUUGUGAAGGAUCCAGCAACGGGGAAAGUACUACUACACGGGACUCUUGAGUAUGGCCUUUAUCAUCUCCUUGCAACCCAGUUACUCGGCCAGCCUUCUUUCUCAAAUAAAUCACAGGCUUUCCAUGUCUCCAAGUCAUUUUUUGAUCUAUGGCAUAGUCAUUUAGGUCACUCGUCUCUACGAGCAGUCAAUAGUAUUAUUAGGAGUCUUUCUUUACCGGUCAAAUCGAGUCCUCAGUCUAGUAUUUGUUCUUCUUGCCACUAUGGCAAGAGUCAAAAUUGCCAUUUUCUAAUUCUAGUUCUAGUGCUAGUUUUCCCCUUGAUUUGAUCCACAGUGAUGUAUGUCAUCCUGCUCCACAAUUGGCUAGUAAUAAAUACCGUUAUUAUGUUUCUUUUAUUGAUGACUUUAGCAAAUUUACAUGGCUAUUUUCUAUGAGUUCCAAAAAUGAAGUUUAUACUAUAUAUUUACGGUUUAAAACUCAAGUCGAGAAGUUCUUUGAGCGCCAUAUAAAAGUGGUACAAUAUGAUUAGGGUGGUGACUAUAGGAAAUUAUCCAACUUUUUCGCUCUAGAAGGGAUCGUUCAUCACUUAUCUUGUCCCCAUACCCAUGAACAAAAUGGUACUGCCGAAAGAAAAUAUCGUCAUAUUAUUAAAAUGGGUUUAACACUUCUCGCACAUGCAUCCCUUCCUCUCACCUUUUGAGAUCAUGCUUUUGCUACUGCCGUUUACACUAUAAAUCAUAUCCCAACACUCUCACUCAAUAAUGUUUCACCUUAUGAGAAGUUGUUCAAACAAAUUCCUGAUUACCAUUUUCUGAAAACUUUUGGCUGCGCGUGUUUCCCAUUCCUUCAUCCCUAUAAUUCUCACAAAUGAGUCUUCUGAUCCUUAAAGUGUAUUUUCUUGGGGUAUAGUGGAAAUCAUAAAGGAUAUCAGUGUUUACAUGUCCCUAGUGGCCGAAUAUAUAUCUCUCGGCAUGUGGUUUUUGAUGAGUUACAAUUUCCUUUUGUUAGUUUAUCUUCGACUUCAAAUAGAGCACCGACUUUCGACUCUAUUGUCAUGACCUCGUUACCCAUCAUUGCUCCUUGUAAUUCCACUUCGCCUAUCACUUAUGCCAAUAAUAGUUCCAUAGCAGAUGUUGUCUCGCUAAUUCCAUCGUUAAACUCGUCAAAUCCUUCUUUACCAAGUCCAUCGUCAAGCUCACCGGUGUGUUUUUCGGUCCCAUCCAAUUUGUCUCCGUCUUCCAUCCCUUCUAAUAACCUUACUGUUGAUCUUUCAAUACCUAUUGAUACACCUACCAUUGCUCCUAAUUCCCAGCCACCGGCUGCUCGGACGACAUCCUUUGUACCUCAUCCUAUGGUCACCAGGAGUAAAAACAAAUCACAACUUCCCCAAGCUCACAUUGACACAAAAUAUCCUUUGCCUCCAUCUACCCUUCCACCUGAACCUACCUGUUUUACCCAAGCCAACAAGGAUCUAAAAUGACGAAAGGCUAUGCAAGAAGAGUACAACGCUCUCUUGCAAAACGGUACUUGGUCCCUUGUUCCAUCCUUCACAGCAAGGAAUGUUGUAGGAUGCAAAUGGAUUUUUAAGUUAAAACUCAAUCUUAGUGGCUUCAUUGAGCGUUACAAGACUCGUUUAGUGGCAAAGGGAUUUAUCCAAGAGGCUGGAGUGGACUAUCAUGAAACAUUCAGUCCCGUGGUAAAGCCUACAACGAUUCGAGUGGUUUUGUCUUUAGCUCUGUCCAAAGGGUGGUCUUUACGGCAUCUCGACGUCAAAAAUGCAUUUCUUCAUGGGCAAUUACAUGAAGAGGUAUACAUGUCUCAACCCCCUGGAUUUACUGAUUCAAGAUAUCCCAACCAUGUGUGAAAGCUUCACAAAGCCCUUUAUGGCCUUAAACAAGCACCUCGGGCAUGGUUUGAGAAGCUUAGCUCGAAAUUGCUUGAACUCAAUUUUGUACCUUCCAAAUCUGAUACGUCUCUGUUUAUACACAAUUUUGAUGGCCAUAUUACUAUUAUCUUGGUGUAUGUAGAUGAUCUUAUUGUUACAGGAAGCUCUAAUGAGUUCAUUGCAAGCCUUGUUCUUCAAUUGUCUAAUGCCUUUGUUGUAAAAGAUCUUGGUAAGCUACACUACUUUCUUGGUGUUGAGGUCCAUUAUCAGCCCACUGGAUCAAUCACAAUACAUACGAGAACUCAUUGCUCGUUCCAAUAUGGAUAGUGCAAAGCCAAUUGGUACACCUAUGGCCACAGGACUUCAAUUGUCUCAACAUGGGAGUUCACCGUUUUUGGAUCCAUCAUUAUAUCACAGCUUGAUAGGAUGGUAUUUAAUCAUUUUCAUCAAAAUGAUGAUUACCAUAUUAUCACAUGAAAAAGAUGUAAAAAUAAAGAUAAAAAAUAAUAUUAAAGAAAAGAAGAAGAACAUAAAAAUGAGUAUCCAACAAUUUCAUAGAUGAAUGGUAUUUAUAGAUUGAUUAAUUCAUAAGAACUAAGCAAUAUGAAGUUGAGAAGACAUGUUAUUUAAGUGGAGAAUACAAAUAGAUGAAAGUUUUUUUAUAACUUAUGAAUAAAAUUACAAACUACCAGUCCAUUCCCCAACUAAUGUGGGACUUUUUACUCACUCUAACACCCCUCCUCACGCCCAGGCCCAACUGGCUCUGGCGCGUGGACCGGGAGCACAAAACGGGGAUGAACCUCAUGAUUAUCCAAGUCCAUUUAAGCAAACUACCAGUCCAUUUCCCAAUCAAUGUGGGACUUUUUACUCACUCUAACACCCCUCCUCACUCCCAGGCCCAACUGGCUCUGGCGCGUGGAUCAGGAGCCCAAAAUGGGGAUGGACCUAACUCUGAUACCAUGUCAAGCAAUGGACCUUGGGCCUAACUCAACCUCAAAAGCUAGCUCUUGAGGGGAUCACCCAAGUCCAUAUAAGCAAACUACCAGUCCAUUCCUCAACCAAUGUGAGACUUUUUACCUACUCUAAUAGUUUCUUCUAUACUGCAAGUAAAAUAUCGAUAGGAUCACCAAACUUGUCACUCGUAAAAGUUAGUGUGAAGUUGGACAACGAAAACCUAUUGACUUUUAGUCAAAAAGCACUUCUAAAUAGAGAGGAAUCAAGUGUGCGAUAAAUUUCAAAGAAAUUAGUUAAAAUUUGAAGGGGUCUUCUUGCGAAGAGUGUGUUCUAAUUAAUUCUUCACCAUAUACCUUUAGUUUUUCAAAAAGAUGAACAGUUAAGCCAAAAAUUUUCUAGACUAACUCAACUUCUUCACACAAAUAGAAACAUAAGAAAAGAAAAAAUUAGAACAAAAAAGGAAAAGAUGGCCAAUAGAAAAUGAAAAGUCAUAUUCUUUCUUAAGUAAACCGGAUUGAGUCAAGAAGUUCAAAUAUAAGCCAGCAUUGUGAGAGUUUAUAUCCUUCCACUCCAACGCUAAAUCUAAAAGAUUUUAACAAUACGUAAUGAUUUAUUUCAAUAGUCUACUGAAUGUAGUACCAUAUCUUCUUUGAACCCACACCAAAAAGCUCUACAAUUUGUCAUAAAACAUCAUUAUUAAAAAUGAAAACAAAGCAAAAUGUUAACUAUCUAGUUACUUAAAAGAGAAAUAAAGAGAAGGCAAGAGAGAAGAUAAGUAACCACAUUUAGAAUCUUAAAUGUAUAGAACUCUAAUGUCUUACCUACAAUAGUUAUAGCUCAAAGUAAAUCGCUGCAUUAUCUUUGUGUAGAUUAUGAAAUUAUUAAAUUCAAUCUAGGGUAAUAUUACAUAAGAAAACUCAAAAGAAAUAGACUCCAUACACUGUCAUUAAAACCGUACAAUAUAGUUAUCAACAAUGUUAGCGAAUAUCAAAGAGUGUUCUAGUGAAAAGUAUGUUCUAGUAAAAUCAUAUACUUUUUUGCUUAAUCUGUUUGUCAAUAGGAUAACAAAUGGUAGACUUAAUUGAAUAGCAUUCGUACAACAAACUUUCAAACAAAAGAAAAAGAACAGAGGAUCCAAAACCAACUGUUGUAACUCAACAAACUAAUCUAAAUAUCAAAAGACUAUUGUUUGUUCCAGAAAACUCAUUUGUUUAGAUUAUAAUGCGACUCUAAAUAAUUAGGGAUUUGCUAUUUUUGAAAUUAGAUAAGUUUCACUCUACUUACACAUGCAAUUUCUGGAUGGAGGGGAUUCAAUAAAAACCCCUUAACAUUAGAUCAGCAUUCGGCCACAAAUUCUCAUAAGGUAUAACUAGGGAUUAUUAACAUACAAGUGUAGUUAAACAGAUGAUUUUCAUUGUUGAUUGUUUCGGGUAUACAACAGAUAGACUUCAAUCCACUUUAUGCUUUACGGAUAAGAGUUUUUUUUAGCAGAAAGACAUGAGUAGAUGAGAAGGGAAUCACAUGUAAAAAAGGUAACAUACUGCCAAUCUCUCAUCGUUUUUAAACGAUAUUUUUGUGCCAUUUACGAGUUUUUGUAAACAUUAUCUUUAUAUGGUGGAGCUAUAAUGUGAAAGGUUAUUCGUGUUUGUAAGUUAUUUGUCAAUACUUUUAAAAUGGAAAUGAGAAUUCAUUAGCCAAAAGCAAAUCAAAAUAUUUAAGUUAAUGUUGAUGAAUUGAGACAUUGGUUAUGUUCCUUGACCUACCGCCCCGUACUGUGUAAUGCAAUUGUCCAUCAGAUACUUCGUUUCGUCUAUUAUUCAAAUCAUGAUCUCAUGUGCUAAUUACACUAAAAAAUCAACACCAUUGAAUACAAAAUAAAACAUAAAUGCAGCAGGAAGAUGAUCUUGUAUACAUUAGCAUCCAAAAAUUCUCCAUCAGAGAACUUUUUUUUCGACUUUAUGGUACAUUAGAACAAAACCGAUCAUGGUCAGUCAUUUUAAAAGUACAUUCAUCGAAGACAAAGCCAUAAAAGAAACAAAACAUGGAAUCAAUAAUACAUAGCAGUACUAAUGAUGAAACAACUAAUAAAUAAUAUCUGGAAUAUUCAGUUCGGGAUCUCAAACCUUCUUUAACAAAAAGCUUGACCAGCAUCUGUUCGUAGCCCUACUUCCUUAAGAAAUAAAAGUUCAUCAGUUGGGUAAACAUUGACCGCAAACAUAAUGUUUUCGCCUAUUUUGCUUGGUAGUUUCAACAGUAUUGAAAAUUAUAUGUAGAAGAAUUGGAUCAAGGUAGUAAACUCCAACCUUCAAUAGUAAAAAUUGCAAUGAAAUUUCAAUGAUGCCAGAAUUGAAAGUGACUUUGACAAUGUCUGGCAGUUGGUGUUUCCAUGAGAAAGAAGGCAACAAAGAUGAGAAAGUUUCAUUCUAUCAUAUGUGAGAUAGAGAACAGAGUUAUUUAUCAGUGGAAAUGAUUAAGAAGGACGGUUUUUAUCCUACAGUUAAUAUGACAUUUAAUCUGUAUUGACUUUUGGAAUAUAUGCAGUUAAAAAAGAAACUGUCGAUAUUGAUGGUUAUUAUUGUAAUUGUGGGAUAAUUUAAAACUUACAAAUUUAUUUUAAGAAUUUUUUUUCAUCUUAGGGGUUUUGAAGAAUGACCAAUCGGCAAUUUGCACAAAUGCCAUAUAUGCCCUACAUGGAUUAAGAAUAGGUUUUUUCCUCUAUUUUAAAAUAUUUAUAAUAUUUAUUAGAUUAUUUUUUUGAUAUUUAAUUUUUAAUUUGAUUGUAAUUUUUGACAUGUAGAUUUUUAAUUUAAAUGUGAUAACUAAUAACAGCCAUAACUAUAUUUAUUUUACUAAGUUGCCAAAUGGCUUAUUCAUAGAAUGCCAAGUGGCUUAAUGAGGAGGUUUUAUCGUUUCCUAUUAAUAAUAUAUAGAUAUAGAUAUAGAUAUAGAUGGUAAUUUUUGACAUUUAGAUUUUUAAUUUAAAUGUAAUAACUAAUAACAGCCAUAACUAUAUUUAUUUUACGAAGUUGCAAAAUGGCUUAUUCAUAGGAUGCCAAGUGGCUUAAUGAGGAGGCUUUAUCCUUUCCUAUUAAUAAUAUAUAUAUAUAGAUUACUUGGGCCUUAAAUAUAAAUAUAAUAACUAAGCUCAAUUAUAACACCUUGAGACUUUUACUCACAAACAAUUAAUUAAGAGAAGAUUGCGUUCAAGUCAUAUUAGUCAAUUCUAAUUGCCUUUCAUUUUUAGCAUAAGGUAUUUGUUAAUAUGUCAAUACACAAAUAAAGGAUAAAUUUCAAGCAUGCUAUCAAAGUCAAAUAAUCAAAGAUAAUUCACUAAAGCAAAAACAAAUUAAUUUAAGAUAUUUACAGCUUUAACUAUUAAGCAGUCUAUUAAUCCUUCGGUAAUUAAUGGUAGAAAAAUAAAUGGUUAUCAUGUGACCCUUUUUGAACACUUACAAUUAUUAUUCUCAAAGAAGGAGAUAUUUUCUUAACUUGCUAAACAUAGAUUUAUUUUUUGCACUUUUUCUUUUUGACUGUUAACAUUAAGGAUCAAUUGAUUAACUAGGGAGGACCUAUUAAUACCAUUUGUAGGGGUGCGGAUAUAGGCAGAUAACUAACUUAUAAAUAGGCAGAUAACUAACUUAUGAAAUAGAUUUAUUAUAUAUUUAAUGAAUCUAUUUUUCUUUGUGCGUGGAUAUUUCUUAAAUUUUGUUUCAAUAUCUUUUAAUGAUUUAUUCUUUUCGUAAGAUGUAUUCAUUAAUUUGUUUGGUUUAUUAUUUUAUCCUGUAGUAAUUGCAGAGUUACAAAUUUCUGUAUAAUAAUUUAUCCUAACUGUACUGUAAUGUAUAUUUAAUUCUAGAUUUUCAAUGUUAUUUAUUAUUUUGUGUUGUUCUUCUCGUAGUGAGUUUUUUAAAUUAUAUAAACUAUCACAUGUACUUUUUUCUAAAUUUUCUAAGGUUUCUUCUAUCCAUAUUAAUUUUUCUUUUAGAUUCUCCAUUAUUUUUCUAAUUCGGUUUNNNNNNNNNNNNNNNNNNNNNNNNNNNNNNNNNNNNNNNNNNNNNNNNNNNNNNNNNNNNNNNNNNNNNNNNNNNNNNNNNNNNNNNNNNNNNNNNNNNNNNNNNNNNNNNNNNNNNNNNNNNNNNNNNNNNNNNNNNNNNNNNNNNNNNNNNNNNNNNNNNNNNNNNNNNNNNNNNNNNNNNNNNNNNNNNNNNNNNNNNNNNNNNNNNNNNNNNNNNNNNNNNNNNNNNNNNNNNNNNNNNNNNNNNNNNNNNNNNNNNNNNNNNNNNNNNNNNNNNNNNNNNNNNNNNNNNNNNNNNNNNNNNNNNNNNNNNNNNNNNNNNNNNNNNNNNNNNNNNNNNNNNNNNNNNNNNNNNNNNNNNNNNNNNNNNNNNNNNNNNNNNNNNNNNNNNNNNNNNNNNNNNNNNNNNNNNNNNNNNNNNNNNNNNNNNNNNNNNNNNNNNNNNNNNNNNNNNNNNNNNNNNNNNNNNNNNNNNNNNNNNNNNNNNNNNNNNNNNNNNNNNNNNNNNNNNNNNNNNNNNNNNNNNNNNNNNNNNNNNNNNNNNNNNNNNNNNNNNNNNNNNNNNNNNNNNNNNNNNNNNNNNNNNNNNNNNNNNNNNNNNNNNNNNNNNNNNNNNNNNNNNNNNNNNNNNNNNNNNNNNNNNNNNNNNNNNNNNNNNNNNNNNNNNNNNNNNNNNNNNAUAAAAUCAAUUUUAAAAGAUAGAUCAUCUAGAUUAUCUUAAAAUUUUAAUCUUAUAUAUACUUAAAAACAUAGAAAUUAUAGAUAUUAAGAAAAUAAUAUUAGAAGAAGUAAUAAACUAUGAAAUUGAAACUGCAAAUUGUCUAGAACAGUUAUACGAGGAAAUUUACCCAGAAGGAUAUUAUUCAGAUUAAAAAAUGUUAGAAUAUAUUAGACAAACUAGAGAAAAUCAAGAAAAUCUAAAUAAUGAAAUUAAUUAUAGAAACCGAAUUAGAAAAAUAAUGGAAAACCUAAAAGAAAAAUUAGUAUGGAUAGAAAAAACCUUAGAAAAUUUAGAUAAAAGUACAUGUGAUAGUUUAUAUAAUUUAAAAAACUCACUACGAGAAGAACAACAUAAGAUAAUAAAUAACAUUGAAAAUCUAGAAUUAGAUAUACAUUACAGUACAGUUAGGAUAAAUUAUUAUACAGAAAUUUGUAACUCUGCAAUUACUACAGGAUAAAAUAAUAAACAAAUUAAUGAAUAUAUCUUACGAAAAAAGUAAAUCAUUAAAAGAUAUUGAAACAAAAUUUAAGAAAUAUCCAUGCACAAANNNNNNNNNNNNNNNNNNNNNNNNNNNNNNNNNNNNNNNNNNNNNNNNNNNNNNNNNNNNNNNNNNNNNNNNNNNNNNAGAUUCAUUAGAUAUAUAAUAAAUCUAUUUCAUAAGUUAGUUAUCCGCCUAUAUCCACACCCCCCUACAAAUGGUAUCAGAGCCCAGUAAUUUAAAAAGUAAAGCAGUGAAAUAUAUGUCAGAUAUGAGAGAAUUUAUAUAUAUUUAUUGAAUUAAUUAUUAGAAGACCAUUUAAAAAUAGAGAAGCUUUUAGAAAAAUUAAAGAAUCUUUAAUUAAUAAUUAUUCAGAAUAUACAAGUUUAAAUUACUCAAAAGAAAACCCUAAGUAUUUUGAAUUUAUCUACCAUCACAUCAGAUAUAUUAUCAUUCAUUUUCAUAAAAUUGCUUUUUUCAAAAUAUUCCCUUCAACCAUGUACAUAAAAUAUAUGAAUAUAAUUUAAAAUUAGAUUUAGAUAUCCACCAAGAUAUUAUAAAUAUGGUUUAAAUGAAUAAAGUGCAAAAAUACAAAGAAUUAAAACAAAUUAUUUCUGAAAAACGUAAAGAAUUAAAAAUAAGAAUAGAAAAACUACAUUAUAAUUUAUUUGCCGGAGUUAGUGAAAAUUCAAUAAAUACUCAAAAAGAUGAAAUAUCAAAAUUAGAAUCACAAAUAGAUAGUUUAGAAUAUGUAUAUCAACAUGACCUAUUCACAAUAAAAUGAAUAAAGAAGAAUUUAUAAUAGAUGAAAAAAUAUAUGAAAACUACGAAGGAUCAAAAAUAAAAAUAGUAUUUUCUAAUCUAGGACGAAGAUAUAAGAAAAUAGGUGAACAUUUAUAUCUAAUGUUAGAAAAAGAAGAAUUAAAAUUAGAAGAUAAAUUAACAGCAAUGGUAAGAAUAGAAAAAGAAAAUGAAGAGAUAGAUAGGAAAAAAGAAAUAGAAAAAAUAAAACAACAAACUACGGAAGAAAUACGAAAAAUAGAAGAAACCAAAAAUAGUAGAAUUGCUGAAUUAGAAAAAGAAUUACAAAUGUUAAAAGAACUGUAUGAACAAAGACAAAAAGAAAAAGAAGAAAAAGAUAGAGAACAGAAAUUACUAAAUGAGAUAAAUCAAUUUAAGGAAAAAUUAGAAAUAAAAAAUGAAGAAUUAGAAAUAAAUAAUAUAGAUAUUGAAGAGACAGAUAAUUAUGAGUCCGAAGAUAGUGAAACAUACACAGAAAUAUUAACAAAUACAAAAAAUUUAGAAAUCAAUGAAGAACAAAAAAUUUAUGAGGAAAACUUAGAAAAUACCCACACAGAAAUAAAUACUCUUGAUAAAAAAGAAAAUGAAAAUAUAAUACCUAAAACAACAGAAAUAAGAAAACCUAUAUAUUAUAAGAAUAAGUUUAAAAAAUAUAAUGAAUAUGAUAAAUGGAUACCAAAACAAAUAGUGAAUAAAAAUUAUAACUUUUUAGAUCUAGACUGUGUAAUAGAUACAGAAAAAACAAUACAAUUAUGGAUAGGAUAUAUGACAAAACAAUUAUUAGAUAAUAAUAUAAAUAUAACAGAUGCACCGGAAUAUAUAGAAAAAACACUAAUAGGAUCAGUAAAACUAUGGUUUGCAAAUCUAACCGAAAAUAGCAAAAAAGUAUUAAGAACUAAUAAACCUAUAGAAGGAACAUCAUCGACAACAACUAAACUAACACCUAUAGAAUUAUUAAAAAAAUAUGAAACAGCUAUAAAAGAUGAAUUUGGUAGUACGACAACAAUCGAAGAAGAACAAAAUGAAGAAAAAGAUACAAAUAGAAAUUUAAUGUUAAAAUUAGCAAUAUGUAAUAUGUGUUAUAUAGAUGAAUAUACUUGCGCAUUUAAAGAAUAUUAUUACAAAGGAGCAUAUAGUAUAGAAGAAAGUAAAGAAAUAAGAAAAUUAUAUUUUAAUAAAUUACCCGAGCCAUUUAGUUCGAAAAUAAUAAAAAGUUGGGAAGAAGCAAAAAUAGUAGAUACGUUAGGAGCAAGAAUAAAAUAUUUACAACAAUGGUAUAGAAACUUAUGUGAAAAAUAUAGAGAAGAAUUAAAAAUGGAAAAAACAUUAAUAAGAAAUUUAGCUUGUUGCAAAAAUAAAAUAGCACCCCAAUUUGGAUGCGAAGAAAGAUAUUAUAAGAAAAGAAAAAGACAUAAGAAAUAUAAGAAAUAUAAAAAAUCAAAAUAUAAAUAUAAAAAACCAAGAAAAAGAUACUAUGUAAAAAAUUAUAAACAUAAAAGACCAUAUAGAAAAAAGAAAUCUAUAAAAGAAUGUACUUGUUAUAAUUGUGGAAAGUUAGGACAUUUAGCUAGAGAUUGUAAAUUACCUAAAAAUCCAAAAAAUAAACAAAUAUCAGAAAUAAAAAUAGAAAAUACCGAAUACAUGCAGAUAGAUUAUAUAGAUUAUGAAUUAGAAAGUGAAGAUAGUAUAUAUGAAAUUUCAGAAAACGAAACAGAUAAUGAAAUAGAUAGCGAAAUAGAUGAAUCAAAUGACUGAAGAAGAUAUAAAAAUAAUAACAAAGGAAGAAUAUUUAAAUGAUGAAGGAACGGAACAAAAAAUAAUAUUUGACAGUAAUAUAUUUGAUGAAAUAAAAGGAAAAGAAUUAGAUUUAAGUGUAGACAAAAUAUUUAAAAUACCAACAAUAAAAAAUAUUUUUACUAGGAAAAAAGAUGAAUAUUAUGUAGUAUGCCAAAAAGAACAUGUAAUAGAUUGCAGAUAUGCAAAAGGAAAAGCUAGUAUACCACUGGUAACAAAAAGAAUAAUUAAUAAAGAAAUAAAUGAUAUAAAAAGUAAAGGAGAUCCAAUAAAAUAUGUACACCUUGGAGGUACAGAGAUAUUAAUAAAAGCAUGUUUUAGAGAAGGAAUAGAUACACCAAUAGAAUUAUAUUUAGCAGACGAUAGAAUUAUAAAACCUAUAGAAAAAAGCAUAAUAACUGCCGUAAAAGGAAAUCUAAUAUACCAAAAAUUUAAAUUUAUAAUAAGUGCAAAUUAUUCAGUAGCAGUAACAGAUAGGAAUAUAGAUAAAUCAUUAGUAUUAUAUUGGAAAAUAUCAGGAAUAGAGUUAACCCCAGGAAGUAAAAUAUUUACAGCAAGAUGUAAAAAUCUAUAUGUAUUAACAACAAAACAUAAAAUAACAGGAAAAAAUAAGAUUAACAAAAUACAAAUAGAAAGCCCAUUCGAACAAAUAGUAAAAACAAUAGAUUAUAAUGAUUAUACCUAUAGAGACAUAGAUACAGAAGAAAAUUUAGAAAUAGUAAAUGAUAGAAUAAGUACAACGAAAAGAAUAGCUAAUGAAAAGCCAGAAUCAUCAAGCUCAUCAAAAAGAACAAGUUAUGAAACAAACUCAAUAAGUAAUUUAAACCAAUAUUACAUAACAGGAAAAAUAAAUGAAAAAGAAUAUUUAAUACUUUUGAAUACAGGACAAGAAGAAAAUUAUAUAGCAAAAUAUCUAGUAAAAAAUGAAGAAAUAAAAACCGACAAUAAUAUAUGCCCAGACUUACCAAGAAGUUUAAUAAAUAAUAAAAAUCUAGCAGAAAAAGAAAUAAUAUUAGGAGUUAGAAAAAUAAAAAUAGAAUUCGAAGUAAAGGAAGAAAUGCAAAAAGCAGAUAUAAUAUUAGGAAUAAAAUGGUUGGAACAAGUAAAACCAUAUAAUAUAGAACAUACACAAUUAACCUUAACAUAUAACCAAGAAAAGUUAUUCUUAAAAAGAGCCUUAACAUGAAAUGAAGAUACAUGUAUUAAUGAAGAUAGUAGUAGAAGGAUAUUACAGUAGAUAUUAUACGCCUAUGAUAGAUACAGGAGCAGAAGCUAAUUUAUGUAGAUAUAAUUGCUUACCAGAAAGCAAAUGGGAUAAACUAAAAACACCAAUAAUAGUUAAAGGAUUUAAUAAUGAAGGAAGCUUAAUUACUUAUAAAGCUAGGAAUGUAAAAAUACAAGUAUGGGAUAAGAUAUUAACAAUAGAAGAAAUUUAUAACUAUGAAUUAACAUCAAAAGAUAUACUUUUAGGAAUGCCAUUUUUAGAUAAAUUAUACCCACAUAUAAUAACUAAAACAGACUGGUGGUUUACAACACCAUGCAAACAAAAAGUAAGAGCAAAAAGAGUUAAUAAUAAAAUAAGAAAGAAAACUGAUUGGAUAAAAGGAAGUGAAAAAAUUACACAAAAGUUAGAAAAUAUAAACAAUACUGAAGAUACAGUAGAACUAGUAGUAUUUUCGAUAAAUAAAACAGAAAUAACUAUAUUUUCAAUAAAUAAAAUAGAAAUAAUUCAGAAAAAAUUAGAACAAUUAUAUAGUGAAGAUCCAUUAAAAGGAUGGGAAAAACACAAAACUACUAUAAAAAUUGAAUUAAUAGAUAAGAAUAGCAUAAUAACACAAAAACCAUUAACAUAUAAUUUUGAUGAUUUAAAAGAAUUUAAAAUGCACAUAGAUGAAUUAUUAGAAAAACAAUAUAUACAAAAAAGUAAUAGUAAACAUAAUAGUCCAGCAUUUAUAGUAAAUAAACAUAGUGAACAAAAAAGAGGAAAAAGUAGGAUGGUUAUUGAUUAUAGAAAUUUAAAUGCAAAAACUAUAACAUAUAAUUAUCCGAUACCAAAUAAGAUAUUAAAAAUAAGACAAAUCCAAGGAUAUAAUUAUUUUAGCAAAUUUGAUUGUAAAUCAGGAUUUUACCACCUAAAGCUAGAAGAAGAAUCUAAAGAAUUAACCGCAUUUACGGUACCACAAGGAUUUUAUGAAUGGAACGUGUUACCAUUUGGAUAUAAAAAUGCACCAGGUAGAUAUCAACAUUUUAUGGAUAAUUAUUUUAAACAAUUAUCUAAUUGUAUAGUAUACAUAGAUGAUAUAUUAUUAUAUACAAAAACUAAAGAAGAACAUUUAAAAUUAUUAGAACAGUUCACAGAUAUAAUAGAAAAAUCAGGAAUAAGUCUAAGCAAAAAGAAAGCUGAAAUUAUGAAAAACCAGAUAGAAUUUUUAGGAAUACAAAUAGAUAAAAGUGGAGUAAAAAUGCAACAACAUAUAGUACAAAAAAUAAUAAAUUCGAAAGAAGAAUUAGAUACAAAGAAGAAAUUACAAUCAUUUUUAGGAUUAGUAAACCAAGUAAGAGAAUAUAUUCCAAAAUUAGCAGAAACUUUAAAACCACUACAGAAAAAAUUUAAAAUGGAUGUAGAAUAUAACUAUAAUGAAGAAGAUAAAAAACAAGUUCAAAAAAUAAAAUUACUUUGUAAAGAAUUACCAAAAUUACAAUUUCCAGAUGAAAAUAGAAAAUUUAUAUAUAUAGUAGACUUGUUUCGGAUGAGAUUGAAGACAAAGCUCAAGAUAGAAAAGAAGCCAAGGUUCAAAAUGAAGAUUUUGGCUGAGACUUGUUGUUAUUGAGCCCUCGGAUUCUUCAUGAUUUUGUGGACGGUUUUUGACUUGUUUUUGUGACUUGUUUGUGGAUUGUUUUGAGUAGGUUUUCUUUGAAGUGACCAAUUGAACGAGGUGAAGCUGUGAAUUUGUGGACAAAUUCCUCUUAAGAUAAAGAGGAUGAUACUGGAAUAAUCAUGGAUAUGGAAUUAGGAGAAUGCGUGUUGGACCCGAGCCUUGGCAUGUACAAUUGAAGUGUAAAAGAGGACCAAAAUGCACCCAAAUCAGCCCAUAAAUUACACUAGAUGGGUGCCCAUUCUUGAAGGGCCUUUUUGUUCAUUUUAACUUCUAUUUGUUUUGUAAUAUAUAAGGAACAUAUUAGGGAUUAUUCACUCAGUUUUUGGAUGAAUUUGUAAGUCUUUUAAGACUUGAAACACCAUAGUUAGGGUUUGGAAAAACCACCAACUGAAACUAGGACAAGAUCUAGUGUGGAAUCACUAGUGAUUGUAAAUUGCUUGGAGACAUUGAUGCUUGGAAGGUGGAAUGCGAUCUUGUAUCUUUGUAAUAGAUAGGUUUAUUGUUGUGUGUAGUGAUACGGGUCCAAGAUUGUCCAUUCUUGGGUUCUUAAGAUUAUACCUUCAUGUGGUCUAUCUAUCUAUCCUUUUACCUUCUUGUAAUCUUGUUUAUUGUUUGUGUUGUAAUCUUGUGUUCUUGUUGUUAUUGUUAAAUCCGAAUCUUGUGUCUUCUUGUUUAUCAUCUUGAGUUCAUCUUGUUGUUGUUGUUACUGCUUUGGUGUUAAAACACACCAUUAUAUCUUGUAUUCUUGUUGUUGGUAGUGAAUAUGAGAGUGGUCUCUAAAAAGGUCCUCGGAUUCUUAAGAUUUGCGGACUGUUUUGGAGUUGUUUCGUGUUUCUCUGAUUAUUCUUGUAUCACUUUCUCCUCUUAUUGUGCCCCAAAAAUUAAUAUUAAUCAAUAACCAAUUCCAAGGACCUUAAAUCAAUGGCAUAUUCAACAACAACAUUAAUGUCAAUGUGUUCAACGAAUUGGAUGAACCACUCUUUUUCACAUAGAAUGAUAUCCAACAAAGAAAGAACUCAUGGCAAGAAGGAACCCUUGGUACCAAUUGUCUAAUCCCCCUAGAAUGAAUUACACCUAUACAAAUUACACCUAUCAUUUCCAGGGCAAGGAUCAAAUCAGUAGCUACUACUACAACCCUACCACUAGCUUGCAUCGUGCUGCUUGUGGCUAUGGUCCCCUUAUUAUGAUAGAUCGUGAAUUGAUCCUGCUCCUCUUUGAUAAACUUGAGGAUGAUGGUACACCAAGAUCCACAUAGAAAUUAAAGGCUCAUUACAUAGCAGACGUCCUCUUGGAAGACCACAAGGCUUGUUUAUUAAGGGCAAAAAUGGGAAAGGCGAUGGCAAGGAAGAGUUAAUAUUCACAUUAACCCUCGAAAAGACAUAAAGAAUUAAGUUUUGCAAUGUUGGAAUGAAGGAUUAUACCAAUGUUAGGAUCCAAGGUCACACAAAGAGACUCGUUAAGAUCGAAGGUUCACAUAGUGUGUAAAAUGUGUAUGAACCCCUAGACAUCCACUUGGGACAAUGUUUAUCCAUUUUGGUAACCAUUGAUAAUGAACCCAAGGACUAUUUCUUUGUAGAUUCCACAAUAUUCACUCAGUAACCACACGUGGCCACCGUCACUCUCCAUUAUGCCAACAGUAAGGUCCUCGCGUCCUCUUAAUCUAAGGCACCUGAAGGGUAUGAAUGGUUGCUUAACCAAUUCUGUUCAUUCAUCUAGAAUUUAACUAACAACAAAACUAUACCUAAUCCUUGGGGAUCUUAACACUACAAAAAAAUUAACAUCACAAGAACUAUCAAACUAGUCACAUCAGAUGGCAAAGUUGACAGUAAACAUUGUUAUGUUGUAAAUGGCAUCUCCCACGUGGAUCCCGCUAUGCCAAUCAGGUUAGCAUAACAUUAUAGUAUUUAAGUAAAGGUGUUUAAGUAUGACUUGAUCAAGGAUGUCAAUAAAUCUACAGAGGUAGAUGGAGGAGACAAAAUUUCACUCGCGCCUGUUGUGACCAAUGGCACUUGGAAAAGCUUUAUGGAGUUCGUUAUUGAGAACACUGGCAAAAGUGUUCAAUCUUGGCACAUGUCUGGAUAUGCAUUUUUCUGUAUCGUAAGUACCUCGUAAUCCUUUAUCAAAUUCAUGAUUAUAUGAUCUAACUUCUUAUAGCCGAUGGCGGAACUAGGAAUCUACAUUGGGGGAUUCAGAAAUUCACUAGAAUGUCAUAUUGAGAUUCGAACUUCUGACCUAAAACCUAUGCUUUUCAUGUUAGCUCUGCCCCUAAAAGUAUUAUAUGAUUUUUUCAAUGAAUGAUAUUCAAUUGAACCCCUUUUCCUUCAACUUAAAUAAUUUUGCAAUUAAUUGUCAUAUUUUUUUUGUGUUAUCGAUUAGUCACCUUAUAAAUAUUUUUUACACCGUCAAUGCAAGAUUGAGACAGAGAGGUGGUCACCAAAGAAGAGGAAGAACUACAACUUGCUUGAUGCUGUUAGUAGGGACACAAUCCAAGUUUACCUAAAUUCAUUUACAGUCAUAAUGACUGCACUUGACAAUGCUGGAUUAUGGAAUAUUAGAUCUAAUUCAUUGGAGAGACAUUAUUUGGACAACAAUAUGAUGUAUUCAUCUUUAACUGAUACUGUUGGUUCAUGAACACUCAGAUAAAAUUGUUGUCCCAAAUAAUGUCUCUCCAAUGAAUUCGAUCUAAUAUUCCAUAAUCCAGCAUUGUCAAGUGUAGUCAUUAUGACUGCAAAUGAAUUUGGGUACACUUGGAUUGUGUUCCUACUAACACCAUCAAACAAGUUGUAGUUCUUUCUCUUUUUUGGGACCACCUCCGUCCUUCAAUCCUGCAUUGAUGGUGUAAAAAAUAUUUAUAAGGUGACUAGUCGAUAUCAUAAAAAAAAUGACAAUUAAUUACAAACUUAUAUAGGUUGAAGGGUGAGGGGUUCAAUUGAAUCUCAUUCGUUAAAAAUAUCACGUAAUACUUUUAGGAAAGGAGCUAGCAUGAGAAGUAUAGGUUUUCGGUCAGAUGUUUGAAUCUCAAUGUGACAUUCUAGUGAAUUUAUGAUUCCCCUAAUGUGAAUUCCAAGUUUCUCCACUGACUAUUAGAAUUUAGAUCAUAUAAUCAUGAAUUUGAUAAAGGAUUAGGAGGUAUUUACGAUACAGAAAAGAAUAUAUAUCCAAACAUGUUCCAAGAUUGAAUACUUUUGUUAGGGUUCUAAUAACAAACUCCACAAAGUCUUUCCAAGUGUCAUUGAUCAUAAUAGGUCCAAGUGUGAUUUUAUAUAGUCCAUCAAAACCUGUAGGUUUAUAGUCAUCCUUGAUCAAGUUAUACUUGAACAAAACACCAUAAUAUUGUGCCAACCUGAUUGGUGUAGCGGGGUCCACGUGGAAGACACCAUUUACAACAUAACAAAGCUUACGAUCAACUUUGCCUGCUAAAAUGACUAGCUUGAUGGUUCUUGUGAUAUUGAUCUUUUCGUAAUGCUAAAAUCCCUCAGGUGCCUUAGGCAAUUGAGGGAGGGCGUAGACCUUACUGUUGCCAUAACGGAGAGAGGCAGUGGCCACAUAUGGUUCCUGAGUGAACCAUAUGGACUCCACAAUGAAUAGUCAUUGGGUUCCUUAUCAGCGGUUACCAAAAUGGAUAAGCAUUAUCCCAAGUGGAUGUUUAAGGAUUCAUACAUAUUUUGCACAGUGUGUGAACCUUUGAUCUCAACAAGUCUCAUUGUGUGUCCUUGGAUCCUAACAUUGAUAGAAUUAUUCAUGCCAACGUUGCAAAACCUAAUUCUAUAUGUCUUUCUGAGGGUCAAUGUGAAUAUUGGCUUAUUCUUACCAUCGUCUUUCCCAUUUUUACCAUUGAUAAGAAAGUUAUGUGGCCUUCCAAGAAGGUGUCCGCUAUCCAACAAGCCUUUAAUUUCUUUGUGUAUCUUGGUGUACCAUUAUCCGCAGGUUUAUCAAAGGGAUUCGGGAUUAAUGCACGACCAAUGACAGUAAGGGGACUAUAACCACCAACAACAUGAUGCAAGUUGGUGGUAGGAUAGUAAUAGUAGCUACCAGUUUAAUCCUUGACCUGGAAAUAAUAUUUGUAAUUCAUUCCCAAAGGUAUUGGAUAAUUGGUACCAAGGGUACCUUCUUGCCAUGAGUUCUUCCUUUGUUGGAUACCAUUUCAUGCGAAAAGAGUGUUUUAUCCAAUUCAUUGAACACGUUGACAUUAACAUUAUUGUUGAAUGUGACGUUAAUUCUAGGUCAUGGGAAUUGGUUAUUGAUUAAAAUAUAUUUUUGGGGCACAACAAAAGGAGAAAGGGUGUUAUAAAUAACUUUUCAUUUGUGGAACAAAUAAGGAUCCUCUCCAUUAACUAAGAUGCAAGUCAUUUCUAGUAGAAUUACUAACACACUCCUCAUUAAUCUCAUCAUGUCAUAUAUCUCCAGCACUAGCAUUUCCAUCCUAGUCAAUGGGGAUAAGACCACCCCUUUCUACCCCACUAGAGGAAUUAGACAAGAGGACCCUUUGUCCCCUUAUAUCUUUAUUUUUAUAUGAAGAAACUUUCCAGGGCCAUUGAUAAUCAAGUUAGAAAUUGCCUCUGAAAUCCCAUAUCCAUAACCAGUAAAGGACCCAAAGUCUCCCAUCGGUUCUUUGUUGAUGACCUUACUCUUUUCUCUUAGGCUAGUCCUAAAGAUAGUGCCCAAAUCAUGACUACCUUAAAAGAAUUCUGUGUCCAAUCUGGAAAAGGAUUAAUCUAGGAACGUCCACAUAAAUCUUCUCUGUGAACUACAAUGCCUCUUUAGCUAACUCCUGCUUUUCUAUCCUCAAUAUCUAACCUAGCACCUCUUUGAUAAAUAUAUAGGUUUCCCUAUCCUUCAGUCUAAACCUACUCACGCUGAUUUUUAGCUCAUUAUUGACAACAUGCAUUCCAAGCUAGCUAGGUGGAAAGCUAAAAUACUCAAUAUGACUAGGAGAACUGUGCUCACUAAAUCAACCUUGGAUAGCAUUCCUUCCCAUGUCAUGCAAUUCUUGAAGGUGCCUUCAAUCUCAUGACCAUAUCCAAAGAAAUAUUGUUUAGAGCACCACUGCUGACAAGAAAAGAAUCCACCUUAUAGGUUGGGACACCGUAACCUCAACCAAAGAGGUUUGGGGACUAGAGAUCAAGAAAUGCCAACUUAAAAAUAAAGCCAUGUUGUCAGUCUGGCCUGGAGGAUGUACCACAACCCCAAUGCUCUGUGGGCCAGAAUCUUGUUCAUCAACUACUGUAGGCCUCUCAAUAGAGAACCUAAACAAAGAUGACCUUCAGAAUAGGGAAAUGCAUAAGAGAGGGAUGGAGUGUAUGCAACGACAAUAUCAGGUGGACCAUUCACAAAGGAAAUAAAAUAUUUUUUUUCGAAUACAAGUGGAUCCCUAACCAUGGCCUCAUCAAAAGCUACAUUCAGUGUCCUCUAAACAAAAUAAAAAAUAAGCUAAGGAUGGAUAACAUCUACACUAAUGAAAAUUGGAACCUGGAAAGUCUCUCCCUCAUUAUCCUUCCUGAGCUCUCCCACACCCUCCAAAACUACUUCAUCCCUCACAAUAGUACUCUUAAUGAUAAGCUAUAUUGGGACAGAAUCAACAAUGGGAUCUUCUUCAUGAAAAUAUCCUGUCAAGCAAUGGCUGACUCCCAUAAGCCUAACCCAACCACCGUUAGUCCCAAGUUCCACUGGAUAUGAAAGCUAAAGAUUUCCAACAAAAUCAAAACUUUCAUCUGGCUACUCCAACACAACAGAGGAUACCUGCAUCAUAUAGGGGUAACCAGCGGUAGUCAAUGCCACUUUUGUGACACACAAAAGAAAGACAUUAACCAUGUCUUUUUCCACUAUCAUAAUUCCUCCACCUUUUGGACAACCUAAGACAGCCAAAGCAUCUCCAUCCACUCUUUUGAUUCCAAUAACCUCAAUAUUACUAACUAGCUCACCACUUGAAGUGGCAUCAAAUAGAUCCCCUUCAAUAGAUGAUUGAGUUGGGACAUAGUUAUUCCUUUUUAUUCCUUUUGCCCUCUGGAGUAUUUGGCUUACUAGGAAUGACAACCUCUUCAACAACAGUAAGCUCCCCAUUAACCACUAUGCAUCUAUCCAUUUAGCUAUUGAAUUCCACUUUAUGACUCAUAUACACAUCACCAUCCCAACCUCACCACCAUCCUUAGCUUGAAAUGGGAACCUCCCCAUGAGGAACCUACGAGUUGAACAGUGACGGGGCUAUAAAUCAACAAACUAAGGGGGAUAGGGGGGUCUUCAGAAACCACCUAGGUGAUUGGACCCUUGGGUACAUCAAGACCCUUAACAACACCUCCCCUAUACAAGCUGAGCUCCUGGCCAUUCUGGAAGGACUCUAGCUAGCAGUCUCGUUUGUUACCAGUAUGGAUUAAUGGUAGCAAAAUAAAUUGUUAUCAUGUGUCCCUUUUUGAACACUUACAGCUAUUAUUCUUAAAAAAAGGGGAUAUUUUUUGAACUUGCUAAACAUAAUUUUUUUUCUUUUUUUGCAUUUCUUCUUCUGAAUUGUUAACAUUAAGGAGCAAUUGAUUAACUAGGGAGGACCUAUUAAUUAAUAUUGAAAUUAACAGUGACAAAGUAUAUUAAUAGAGUUAAAUAAUUAUACUAAAUUUUAUUAAACAAAAAGUAUAGAUUAAAGAAAUCAAAACAACAUGGGAUAUAUAUCUCGAAAUGAAUAUGUAACAGUAGCCUUUCAAUCUUAAACUACCAAAAAUUAGAUGAAAUUUUAAAUAACAUUAUUACAUAUGACAAAUUUAAAUUUUCAACUUGCAAUUAAUUUAGGAUGAAAAUGUCUCACCUACUUCAAAUUACCAUGUAAAGGAAUAAUAACUAUUAACAUAUAUAUGUAAUUCGAACAACUUCGUAACAUUAGAAUCAAGUGUCAGAUAAUCAUGAAAAGUAAUACAAAGAAGUUUAAGUGUUAACUUUAUGAAGAUUAUUCGAAAUAAGAAAAUGGCUACAAUAUGUUGAUUUCCAAAAUUAACAAUAGCUAAGUUUUAGAAACCACAAACUCAAAACCACGAACUUUAAAUUUUUUGUUUUGCAGAUAUGAGGUGGCUACUUUAAGAUUUUUGUUUUACUUUUCUUUUUUUCUUUAGUUCCUUUUUAAUUAAAGAUAUAAAUAAAUAUAAUGGUAAAAUUAUUAGCUACCUAUAUUGACGUAAAAUAUACAUAUAAAAGUUUAAUAGCUACUCCUAACAAUCUAGCUUAUUUAUUAAAAUCAAAAUUAAAAGUAAAAAAAAAUUGAAAUUUUUCUUAUUAUUUGGAAGGCAAAAUUAAAGCAACUCAUCCUAAAAUGUAACUCUAUUUUUUGAACCUUUUUUCGAAAAUUUUCAAAUGAACCCUACUAAAAAUGAAGUAAAAGCUAAAAUAAAGAUUAGACAAGAAAAUAAAUAUUCAAGCUAAAAGUAUAUUAACACUCAGGGAGGGUCAAAAAUCACCCGUCUACACCCGCUAUGUGCAGGUCCAAAAAAGAAUCUAACCAUAAAAAUCUAUUAUAUGUAAUCUUAUCUCGCAUUUCAGUCAAAUUACCACAAAUAUUGUCAAUCUUUAAACAUAUUUUGCAUUAUUCAAACUAUUGUACAUAGCAUUGUUGGAAACACUUUAAUUUGGUUUGGUAAAUUCAUAUUGAUAAGUAGUUCCAACGUUCCAUAUCUUUCAAUAAUACCAUAUAGAUAGAUUCAUUUAAGAUUUAUUUUGUUAAGAUUAAGAUGUCUAAUCUAUAUAUAGAAAUAAAGGAGAAAUAUAGUGAUGCUUAUGUGGCAUGCCUUAGAAUCAAGGAAUGUUAGUUAUCUUUUUUUUCCUAUUUUUGAGCUUUUUUUAUCCUUUUAAAUUUUUAUUACAAUCAACAAUUUGCUUUAAUGUUUUUAAGUUUCAAAAUUUCAACAGGCACAGUAUUAAGACUUUGUAUUACAACAUUGUUUUGCAAUUCCUCUUUAAUGCCCGCUUCUCUUUUUCUUCUUUAGGCAUUUCCAUCUUGUCAGUUCUUCCUCUUUAUUUUUCUACUUCCUUUUACUCUCUCUCUAUAUGUUUUGUUGUUCCUCUCAAAUUACAAGGUAAUUUUUUUAAAAAAAAUUGAUAUUUAUUUCUUUUUUUUUAAUUUUUGAUUGGUGUUCAUGUAUUUUUUAUUCUUUAUUAUUCCUUUCGCCUAUUUUUCAAAGGUAAAUCUCCUUUUUUUAUUUUAUAAUGUGUUUGUUGUUUAUUCAUGUUUGAUUGAAAAUUUAUGUAUAUGUGUAUUCUAGAUGCUUUAACUCCAUUAGCUGUAAGUAUUUCGUCCAACCUUCUCCCUAAAGUUAUUUCUGUAUAUGAAGCAAUUUCUCUGUUUUACAGUUCUAUGCUUCAAAUAAUUUUCUGACUUCUUUCAAAAAAUCUAAAAUUGACAAUUUACGCGCCUCCACUAAACAAUUAUUUAUACAUUCUGCAAUGUUAGAUUUCAUCAUCUUGCCUCUAUUUAAAGGAGAAUGAACUCUUGACCACUUCUCAUAUCCUGCAUCAUAUAGAUAAUCUUUCACCUGAUGAUCAAUUUUAUCAACCUUCGACAUAAUGUAUUUAAAAUCUUCCUUUCUAUAUGCUUUGGCCAUUGAAUAAAACAGGUCACUAAGUCUGUCCUUGCUCCUUCUGAAAUUUGUACAAACGUUCUUCCAAAAAUGUCAAAUGCAUGCUAAGUGAGGACCAUUUGAAUAGACAUUGCUGACACUUUUAAUUAUUGUUUCAUUGCGAUCUGAUACAACACACAUGUUCCCGCGCUCCCCAAAAGCAUUCUUAAUUGCUUGAAAAACCAUGUCCAUGCGGAAUUAUUUUCCGAUUCAACAACACCAUAAGCAAUUGGUAAUAUGCAACCUAAAAAAAAAUUUAAAAGCAUGACUUUUAAUAAAUUGUUGUUAUUAAAAAGUUUAUACACCUAAAAAAGAAUACGAUAAAGUUUCAUAUAAACAGUUAUGUAUCAGAAUAUAUAAUGAUGUAUCACAAAUUAUAUAGUUAUGUAUCAUAAUAUAUUAUAUAUGUUAUGGAACUUAUCGUAACAAUUAUUAAAGAUGGAAUAACAUACAAUUUCAUAUAUACAGUUAUGUAUCAGAAUAUAUAAUAAUGUAUCAUAAACUAUACAGUAAUGUAUCAUAAUAUAUUAUAUAUAUUAUGGAAUGUAUCAUAACAAGUAUUGAAGAUGGAAUAACAAGAUUAGUCAUACCAGCACCAUCAAGAGUGCUAGCAGAAAGAAAAGUCUCUUGGUACGGUCCACUCAAAUGAGCACCGUCUGCCACAACAACUGGCCUACAUUUCUUGAAACCAUGAAUCAUUGGCUGUAAAGCUAUAAACAAAUAUUUGAAUUCAUUAUCUACAGCCUUAUGCAUCCUGAUGUGUGAUCCCGAAUACACAGAAUUUAGCAUGUAGAUGUAUCUCGACAUUUGUCUAUAUCCGUCAGCAGCUCCACCCCUAAGCAUUUCUAUAGCACGCUCCUUCGCACGCCAAGUUUUUAUGUAAUUGAUGUCAAUACCAUACACAACUUUCAUUUCUUCAAUAACAAAGUUAACUGUAGCCUGCAGCUAUUUUAACACCCUAUUACGCAUUGAACACAUAUGUUCAUCAUUGAAUUUUCGAAUUUGAAAAAGAUCAGAAUGCAAAAAGCAAGAUGCUUUCAUGUACCAACUGCACUUUUCAUUACGACAUUCCAACCAAUAGCUUCAUAUUAAAACAAAUAAUCACAAUUUUAAAAAAAAAUAUAUCAAAACAAUAAUGUAUCAGAUACUUUUAACUGUUAAGCUACUUUAAACAAUUUUUAUAGUUUUUAUAACAACAUUCUGUCAUUUGUUUGCUUUAAACCAAUUCACCUUCAUAUACGAUAUUGUUUAUGAAUAACACAAUCAAAACAUAUUUUACAAUGUAUCCUAAUACCUAUACAUAAACGCCAAUCACACAAAAAAAAAAAACAAGCAUAACAUAGUUUAUAAUACCUUUUUUUAUCAGAUCUUGAUGCUCGAAAAUUAAAACUAUGAUCUAACACAUACUUUUUCAUUACAGCUUUCAGAGUUUUCUUAUCCUUAUACAACUGCUUCACCUUAACUUCAUUGUUUUGGCAAUCAGUGAUGAAUUUUGUUGUUUCAAUUUCUGGUACAUACAAAGAGUAUUGAUUAUUCGCCUCAACAACAGCAAGUACAGCUGCAUCUGAUUCUGUUCCUUUGACGCACAUUAUCGCACCAGUUUGAGCAUCAAAUUCUACAUCUUCAUUUGAUUUAGAGCUUGUUUUAAUGCAUAGUGGAUACAUUACAAAAUCUGUGCAUAUUUUUUUCAAUUCAAUGUAAACCUUAAUACCAUUGUCGUUUCUAAUCACCAUUAGAGUUGUAUUUCCAUCAACAAUGUAACGAACAUCUAUAUUUUUCUUUGCUUGAUCUAUCUCAAGUUCCGUCGCAAUAACAGAAAUCAACUUGAAAUAUGAAACACUUUCGGUAACUACAAUUCCAUCACUCUUGUAAUUUUCAUAAAUAAUUUCAUUUUGCCAGAAACCAGAAUGUCUCAGCAAAAUCGAAAUAUUCAUGACAAAAAUUGUUUGAAAGAAUUGACAACAAAAAAAAAAAUUGGAAGCAAUGAGUUAAAAAAUAAUUGAAAACGGCAUUCAAAUUUCAAAAUAAUUUGUUACGUGAUUUAUGUAUUAAGGAAUUUGAUCAAUCAGAAUUAUGCUUAAUUAAUGGCAUUCAAAUUUCAAAACGACAAGUCUUAUAUUUAAGGGAUUUGAUUAAUCAGCAUUAUGCUUAAUUACCGUUCGUUUACUAAUUAACCACAUUUAAUAUGGUACUUAUGUAUCAUACCACAAUGUAUCAGAUAAUCACGUAAUGUAUCAUAAAUGGGAUUUUCAGUAAUUUUUUAAAAUGUUGGGAGAGAAGGUAAUUAUAUAAGAAACUAUUGUUAUUUAGUAGUUUAUACGAAGAAUAUUGCUUAGGAAGAAAAAACAACGAAAGUUUGAGCUUUAAUUGACUAAAUUGACUAUUCCAUCAUUUCUUUUUAAGUAAUUUAUUUAGGUUGGACACAUUUCAUAAUAAAUCUCUUAUUCCUAUAAAAUUUAAAAUGCUUUUACUAUUAUAUAUACCCCUAAUUAACUUUAGGUUGGGCACACCCCUAAUUUCUUCCCAAUUAAUGAUCAUGAUAAUUUGAACAAGGGUAAAGUAGGAAGAUUUUAACCAAAUUAUUCUUAAAAAAAUAAAAGAGCACUUAAAAAGAAAUACAAACACAGCCUAAAUAGAUCAUUAAAAAAAAAUAAAGAAAGUACUUAAUAGCAAUACAGAGAGUUUAGUGAUGUUAUUUGUUGGCUCAUUAGUCAUGACUCUUUGAGAAAAAUAUUUGCUAAGUAUAUAAUUAGUAGCAUUAUUAUGUGGAUGUGCUUUCUUUGAUAAGCUCUUUAUUUAGUUUGAAUAGUGAUAUUGCAUAAUUGAACUUUGUUUAGUGUCAUAAUUGACAAUUAUAAAAUAAAAUUUUCAUUUGUGUUCUUUAUAAAAAAAAAAUGAAAAGAAAAGAAAAUGUAAAAUUCAAAAUGAAAAGUUAAAAUAGAAAAAUAUUGAAUCAUGCAUAUUUUCUUGCCAUUGUAUGGAGUCAAUUUCAUUAUUUAUAUUUCAAGUUAAAUUAAAGUUGUCAAAAUUUAGUUUUACAUAUUUAAAUUUGUUGUCUUGUGUUUGUAAAUUCAAUUUCUAAAUUUAGUUGGUUUAAAUGGUAAUCUACAUAACUGAUUUAUUAUUGUUUGCAGGUUAGGAUUUGUCAUUCUCUAAGUAAUUUUUCAUGAUUUUGUAUUUUUUUCAGCUUUCUGACAGAAAAGAUGAAGAAAUCAUGUCAAUGUUGAACUUCACUAAAAUAAGAAUAUGAAUCAUUUGCCAUCUGGUGCAUACAGAUAAUUAUUUUACGUGACAAUAGAAGCAAAUUUUCUAAGAUUUUGUGGUUUCAGAUGAUCCUUAUAAAGUUAUUGCAUAUGUUCUGUUUGCGAAUUAGGUGCAUGAUCAACAAUCGACAAUAAUGAUAUUUUAUUAACAGCCUCUCUACUUCUCGGAGGUAGCAGUAUGGACUGCGUACAUUUUACCCUCUCCAGACCUCACUUUGUGGGAAUACACUGGAUUUGUUGUUGUUGAAUGAAAAAAAGAUCACAAGAAUUGAUGACAUAGAGAGUCAUGGAAAAUAUAUAUAUAUAUAUAUAUAUAUGAGAAAUUGACUAGUUCUAUUAUAAAAUGUGUAUUAAGAUAAAAGACACUUGAAUCUAAAUAUGCAUUUUAAUAUUAAAAUUUUUGCAUUAAGUUACUGGAUAUUCAGUGAUAAAGGCUUUAUAUUCUUAACAUUUGAGUAUAUAAAACUUAUCUUUAUUUAAAAUUCAAUAAAUAUGAAAUAUUAAUAAAGAUGGGCCGUGUCUAACGCAAAAAAAAUGGCUCAACUAAACUGAAAAAUUCAAUGAUAUUUGGAUGAUAAUUAUAGGGAAAAAAAAAUUAAAGACCAAAAGAAAAACGUUAUUUACGGGCAACAAAAGGAAAAAAAAUGAGUGACUAUCAAUUAUGGAACUUACCAUAUAAAUAGACCAAAUUCACAAUCAAAACAUCAACAUCCUUUCAAUGUUCUUUUAGUAAAGCUUGUUUCCUAUUUUUCUCUCUUCUCUUUGUUUUUUCGAUUCGAAAUAAAGUUUGAAAGGAUCAAAAAAUCAUAAAGAAACACGAGAGGAGAAGAAGUAAAUAAAAAAAAACGAAAAUGAAUAACAAGAUGAGAUGUGUGCUAGCAAUUCUGCUAGCAAUGACUUGCAUCUCCGUGAAUGGAGAGGAUCCUUACCUGUUCUACGAAUGGAAAGUUACUUAUGGCACCCUUUCUCCUCUUGGCGUGCCCCAAAAAGUCAUUUUAAUCAACAACCAAUUCCCAGGACCUAGAAUUAAUGGAACAUCCAACAACAACGUUCAUGUAAACGUGUUCAACCAAUUGGACGAACCACUCCUUUUCACAUGGAAUGGUAUCCAACAAAGGAAGAACUCGUGGCAAGAAGGAACCCUUGGGACCAAUUGUCCAAUUCCCCCCGGAACGAAUUACACCUACCGUUUCCAGGUUAAGGAUCAAAUCGGUAGCUACUACUACUACCCUACCACCGGCUUGCUUCGUGCUGCUGGUGGUUAUGGUCCCCUUACUGUCGUAAGUCGUGCAUUGAUCCCUGUCCCAUUUGAUAAACCUGAGGAUGAUUACACGGUCCUUGUGGGGGAUUGGUACACCAAGAGCCACACUGAAUUAAGAAGCAUGUUGGAUACCGGACGCGGUCUUGGAAGGCCACAAGGCUUGGUUAUCAAUGGCAAAAGCGGGAAAGGCGACGGUAAGGAUGAGCCAAUGUACACAUUGACCCCCGGAAAGACAUACAGGUUUAGGUUUUGCAACGUUGGCAUGAAGGAUUCUAUCAAUGUUAGGUUCCAAGGCCACACAAUGAGACUCGUUGAGAUCGAAGGUUCACACGUCGUGCAAAAUGUGUACGAUUCCCUAGACAUCCACUUGGGACAGUGCUUAUCCGUUUUGGUAACCGCUGAUAAGGAACCCAAGGACUAUUUCAUCGUGGCCUCCACAAGGUUCACUAAGGAACCACACACGGCCACCGCCACUAUCCGUUAUGCCAACAGUAAGUCCCCCGCCUCCCCUCAAUUGCCUAAGGCACCAGAAGGGUGGGAAUGGUCCCUUAACCAAUUCCGCUCAUUCCGCUGGAACUUGACUAACAGCGCAGCUAGACCUAACCCUCAAGGAUCUUACCACUACGGAAAGAUCAACAUCUCAAGAACAAUCAAGCUCGUCACAACAGCACGCAAAGUUGACGGUAAGCUCCGUUACGCCAUAAACGGCAUCUCCCACGUGGAUCCCCCUACACCAAUCAGAUUGGCACAACAUUAUGGUGUUUCGGACAAGGUGUUCAAGUAUGACUUGAUCAAGGAUGACUACAAGCCUACAGGGGAAGAUGGACAAGACAAAAUCACACUUGGACCUAGUGUGAUCAAUGGCACCUGGAAAAGCUUUGUGGAGUUCGUUAUUGAGAACCCUGGCAAAAGUGUUCAAUCUUUUCACAUGUCUGGAUAUGCAUUCUUUGCUGUAUCGUAAGUACCUACCUCCUAAUCCUUUAUCAAAUUCAUAAUUAUAUGAUAUCGACUAGUCACCUUAUAAAUAUCUUUUACACCGUCAAUGCAGGAUUGAGCCGGGAAGGUGGUCACCAGAGAAGAGAAAGAACUACAACUUGCUUGAUGCUGUUAGCAGGAACACGAUCCAAGUUUACCCAAAUUCAUUUGCAGUUAUAAUGACUGCUCUUGAUAAUGCUGGAUUAUGGAAUAUUAGGUCCAAUUCAAUGGAGAAGCAUUAUUUGGGACAACAAUUUUAUCUGAGUGUCCAUGCCGCAACAGUAUCACUUCAAGAUGAAUACAAUAUGCCUGAUAACAACCUCUUGUGUGGUAUAGUUAAGGACUUGCCUAAACCUACUCCCUUCAGAGCUUAAUUUAUAAAAAUUAAUUCAUAAUUAUUUUUUAAGAAAUAUUUAUUAUUUUGUAAUUUUAUAUACAUUUUUGAGCAAAGAAAAAGCAUGUAAGGAGGAGAUCAUGGGGCCAAGCUUUUUCACCAAGUGGAACAGAAGUUCUUUUUUUCGUUUAUUUGUCAUUUCUGUUUUUAUUUUUGAUCAAGUCUUGGAACAACCUCUAGCAGAAAUGCAAGGUAAGGUUGUGUAUAAUAGACCCUUGUGGUCGGGCUCUUCCCCGAACCCUGAGCAUAGUAGGAGCUUUAGUGCACCAAGAUGCCCUUUUUUAAAAAAAAUUUGAUUAACGAGUGUAUUAAUUAUUUUUUUUAUGCAUUCAUGUAUAAAUAAAAAUUCAAGAGCAUUUUGUUUUAAUAUUCUGUAUUUUCACUUUCACUUCUUUGUUCUCUCCUGUUCUUUUUAUUUUUCGAAUAUAACGGUUGAAAAUAAUAAUUAAUAAACAGUGAAUUCGGCUGGCUAUUUACGUUACAAAAUCUCGUAGUUUCUGGUACAAGUCGCUAAGGCAUUCAUGUGUACUAGUCGCUAGGGAUAGUUUGACAUUGAGACACUUUCAAAAUUUAUUUUGACAUUUAGUCAGAAGUCUUGGAAAAUUAGAUGUUUAGACAUAUGACAUCAUUCAUUCUUUCAUCCAAACCUAUUACACAAGUUUUAAACUUUACACUUUAGUCCCCCACCUCAUCCAUUUAAUAUUUAAUAUUUUCCACAUUUUUUAUAUUUCCACCAUUUUUUCAUAUUUCCUAUUUUAAUUUAGAAAAUUGUCCAAGAAGCCACCAAUAGGAGCUCCCUUUUUCACCAAUAAUUUCCGAUUUCGACCACUUUUCCAACGAAAAAUUGUUUAUCACAACUGAAAAUCUCCAUUCUUCAUCAUUGCCUCCAUUGUUGUUCCAUCUUUUUUGAAAAAAAAAAUUCAAAAUUUUUUUUUCACCAUUUCUACUAGCUCGAAAAGCUUUCCAAAUCCACUCAAUACCUCAUCAUUAGAUAUAUUUCAGUAGUUUAGAAGUCCUACACAUACAUUUUUCCAUCCCAGAGCUAGGAAGGCAACGAUUAUAUCAAAAAUCGGUCGAUUCCCGUCUUUGUCCGGACGUAUUCAUACCAGUGAUCGACCAGUCAUCGACCAUCUAUAGACCUAAAUCUUGAUUUGUUAUCAAUUUGUGUGGUCUAUUAUGACAGUAGCUGAGGUAGUUAUCGUGGGUGGUAAUUAUAUGGGUGUGUGGGAGGAGGGUCCCAACUGUUGGAGGUGGAAAUCAUCUACAAAGAAGACAAUGUCCAUCCCGCUGCGUCACAAUGAAUCGUACGACGACAUGGUUCGAAGCGUAAUUGAGAGCGGAGAAUUAGAAUGCGAGCCAAAGAACAUUGUGAUUAGCUAUGUAAUGAAUGGAUGGGGUAAAAUACAUCUCACGUUCAUAAAUAAUGAUCGGCAUAUGUCGUUAUACAUGUUGGAUGUCGUUGCUGAUGGCUCUAGGCCAUUAUUGAGAAUAAAUAUCGUUCCGGGGUCUCCGACAAUCCCGCCACCACAGCUGACAAUCGACGAAGAUGAUUCAUUUGAAGAUGAAAGUUUGGAUGUUAAUCCAAAAAAUUCGGAAGAUGAUUCAAUGGAAUUGGAAGAUCCAAUUUCUCUGAAGAAGGGGGAGAAGAGUGCGAAUUAGGAGCACAAACCAACCACACCUUCUCUGACGAAACUACUUUUAAGGUAAAUCAAACAUUUAGCAGUAAAAAAGAGCUGAAAUUGUUGUUGGACGUAGCAGCUGUGAGAAAUUCUUUUGAUUAUGCUACGUUGAAGAGCUGCAGCAAAUUCCUCAAGGUGAAAUGUGUUUGUCCUAGGUGCGGGUGGAUGUUGCGGGCGAAGAAGUAUGAAUGCACGAACAGAUUCGUCAUCUAUAAAUACAUCGCCGAUCACAGUUGCGGCAUAAAAUACGCCACCCGUUGCCAUAGAAAAAUCUCAUCUAAAGUCAUUGCAUCCCUGUGAGCGAACAUGUAUCGCGAAGGAAAGGGUCCAGACACUAGCGAGAUUCAGAGGAUCGUUUUCAAGAACUUGAAAAGUAGACCAAGCUAUUGGAAAUGUUGGCUAGGGGUGUGAUUGCCAAGGAAAUGGUUUGAGGGACAGCGGAGCACGGGUAUUCCUGCCUGCCUAUUUUUUCGUACAUGAUCGACGCUUUUAAUGUUGGCACUAUCUAUUCCAUCAUGGUGAACAAGGUCGAUUGUUGGUUUAUGUACUACUUUUUAUCGUUUGGCCCUUGCAUUAGGUAAUUCGCCCACAUGAGAAAGGUUAUUGCGAUCGAUGGCACUCAUUUAUACGGCAAGUACGAGGGCAUGCUGCUAAGCGCGGUUGCACGGGAUACGGAGAACCAUAUUUAUCCCAUUGCCUUUUUUGUCGUUGAUAAGAAGAACGAUGCAUCUUGGACAUUCUUCUUUGAGAAGCUGAAGUCUAUUGCGGUUGAUGGACCAAAUUUGUGCUUUAUCUCUGAUAGGCACAAGAGCAUCGCCAAUGGCAUCACAAAGGCGUACGACCCUGCUCAGCACGGGUACUGCAUGAGACACCUAGGUAAAAAUCUUCGGGUAAAUCACCACUGCAGAGAACACUUCUAUCUAUUCUACAAUGCGGCAAAGGCAUAUUCUCCCAAGGAGUUUAGCUACCAUUUUGUGGAAUUCAAGAACUACUGUCCCGAGGCAGCCUUUUUCUUCGAGCAUAAGCUUGGUUUUGAGAAAUGGAGCAAGGCAUAUUUUUUCGACAACAGGUGUGACGUGAUGACCACAAAUAUUGCCGAGUCGGUGAACGCUAUGUUGAUUGACGAAAGGGAGUACCCCGUGGCAUCCAUAUUCAAUUCGAUUGCCAAGAGGUUUGGUGAAAUAUUUAAGGAGAGGCGUGCCUACGUCCUCAAAUGUAAGGAUAAAAAAUUUGUUCCCACCACCGAAAAGAUCUUAAGAGACAAUAUGAGCGAGGGCAACUUCUUCUAUGUGAAGAACAUAAGCGGGGACGAAAGGCAAUACACUGUGUUCGGAAGUGGCUGUACGGCCAAAGUCGACCUACUGGAAAGGUCGUGUUCUUGCAGAAAGUUUGACCUGGUCAAAAUACCAUGCGAUGGCCUCUUUGCGAUUGAAGCACGGUAAAGAUUAUGGUUUGAGAGUCUAUGAUUACUCUUCUCCCCUGUAUAAAGUGGAAGAGUACCUCCUUGCGUAUUCGGAAUCAAUUAAUGUUGUUCCUUUGGAAUCCGAAUAUAACGCCCCAGAAAACGGAUCCCGAAACAUCACACGGUGCUUGAGGCUAUGAGUAACCCCAAGCUAACCCUUUGAGUCAUUUUCGGUCAGUUCAACACAAAUCAACGGGGUUUCCAUAAAUAACCCUCAAAUAUCAACAGAGAAAUCAUCAUCCAAGAAUAAAAGAAUUUCAGAAAGAUAACAAAAUACGACUUAUUAGUCAACUCCCAACAUCUAUACUAUUCUGACAAGCCUCUAAGAAAAUCAAUAAAACCAGCGAGCCAUUGAGACAUACCCCAACUGACUCAUACUCAGUUAUCAAAUGUAAACAAUUCCGUGAAACCAACAUCAGACAUCACGUCCUCAGAACAUGAGGACUCACCACAACAGAGGAUGUAGAACAGCGUGCUCGAAGAAUUACUGUCGAACCUGGAACUGAGCACCUAAACCUACAUUCCGGAAAAAUGCAGCCCACAUUCGAAGAUGUGGGUCAGUACCAUGGAAAGGAACCGAGUAUAUGGGGGUGUAUGCAGUUGUAUAAACAUCAUCAUCAUAAAUAUUUAUAAGAAAUAUGCAGGAUGUAUGAAAGACUCACAUAGCCCAAAGAAAAUCAUCAUAAUCAUGAGAGGAUGAAAUAAGUACAAUAACACAUGUGAGUCAUCAUAUAAUUUGUCAAUCACUUUCAGUUCAUCAAGAAUAUCAAUUCUCAUAAUGUAAAUAUCAUUUAAAUCUUUCGAAAGAAUAACUUUCACAAUUCCACUUUCAAAUCACUUCACCAUUCACCAUAGACACAAGGAAACACACACACACUGAAAGAUCCUAUAACUAACAUAAACCAUAUGAGCUACAUGGAGUCCAACGUACAACCCACAUUGGGGAGAGCCAUCCUAUCCUUNNNNNNNNNNNNNNNNNNNNNNNNNNNNNNNNNNNNNNNNNNNNNNNNNNNNNNNNNNNNNNNNNNNNNNNNNNNNNNNNNNNNNNNNNNNNNNNNNNNNNNNNNNNNNNNNNNNNNNNNNNNNNNNNNNNNNNNNNNNNNNNNNNNNNNNNNNNNNNNNNNNNNNNNNNNNNNNNNNNNNNNNNNNNNNNNNNNNNNNNNNNNNNNNNNNNNNNNNNNNNNNNNNNNNNNNNNNNNNNNNNNNNNNNNNNNNNNNNNNNNNNNNNNNNNNNNNNNNNNNNNNNNNNNNNNNNNNNNNNNNNNNNNNNNNNNNNNNNNNNNNNNNNNNNNNNNNNNNNNNNNNNNNNNNNNNNNNNNNNNNNNNNNNNNNNNNNNNNNNNNNNNNNNNNNNNNNNNNNNNNNNNNNNNNNNNNNNNNNNNNNNNNNNNNNNNNNNNNNNNNNNNNNNNNNNNNNNNNNNNNNNNNNNNNNNNNNNNNNNNNNNNNNNNNNNNNNNNNNNNNNNNNNNNNNNNNNNNNNNNNNNNNNNNNNNNNNNNNNNNNNNNNNNNNNNNNNNNNNNNNNNNNNNNNNNNNNNNNNNNNNNNNNNNNNNNNNNNNNNNNNNNNNNNNNNNNNNNNNNNNNNNNNNNNNNNNNNNNNNNNNNNNNNNNNNNNNNNNNNNNNNNNNNGAGGUUCUUGAAGUUGGAUGUAGGAGCUUAGGGUUUUCUUUUUGAGGGAAUUUGAUGAAAUAUAACAUAUAAUGCUUCUAAUAUGCUUUAAUAUAGGGUUUGAACGGAUUUUGGGUGAGGGGGAAUGACCAAAACGCCCCUAAAAAUCAAAUAAUUCUCAAAUCUGUCCUUUGGUGGACUGUUUUGAUAGUCUGAAGUAGCUCAACCAUAACGUUUUACUCCUAUAUCCAAAUUGGAUAAAACCAAUUUCAUUAUAAAGAAAACUCUCAUAUCUUUCCGUUGAUAUAUAGUAUAUAACCCAGAUCAUUGUGUACGAGGAGUUAUGAUCGUUUGAAGUUGACCCAAAAAUUUGCUUUUGAUAGGCUGAAGCCAUAACUUUUUGCUCUGAUAGACAAAUUGGAUGAAACCAAUUUCAUUGGAAAGAGGACUCGCAGAGCUUUACGUUGAUAUAUAGUAUAUCACCCAUAUCAUUAUGUACAAGGAGUUAUUAUCAUUUAAAAUUGGAGCAAAAUUACGUCAGGCCUCAGUACUUUUUCCUGCACGUUUUACUGUUCACUACUAUUCACGGUUCCAUCGGAAUGUUCAUAACUCGUCGCUCGGGUGUCCGUUUUGGAUGAUCCACAUAUCGUUGGAAAUAUUAUUCGAUACUAUACACAAUGGUGGGUCAUAAUCUAAGACAUUCCGCACGAAAAAUUUAUAAUUCAUUCUAGAAGAUAGAACCCAACACGUUUACACACAAAAUUUCAACAAAAAAUUUUCUGGGGUAUUACACCGAAUAGCACGUGCCACAAGAAUUGCUAGACGUGAAUAUUAUUCCACUUCUCAUAGUCACAAAUCUCGUAAGGAAGAAAAUAAAACACAUUACGGGCGUGGGUGAGACUUUCAACUCAAAAAGGAGGAACAAGUGUUCACCGUGCAAGAGACCCGGGCACAAAAGAACCACUUGUAGCAUCAACAAAUCGUAGUUAGUCUUGUAUGAAUUUGUGUUUUUGUAAGUCAUGGCAGUGUAUAUAUUUGACAAACGUCAGUUGUCUGAUUAAUGCCAGAUUUAUCAAGUUAACUCUUCAUCUAUUAUCGACCUUUUUAAAGUAUUGCAUAUAUUGUGUGUCUGGUCUAUUUCUUUUAUUCUUUAUUUAACACAUGGUAUAUUAUCGAUCUAAUUUACAGUCUAUUAAAAACCCUAAAUAUUCAAAGGGACAUAUGUGAACAGUUGAGCAUUUAUUACAUCUCAAAAAAGCUGUUGCACGUCCAAUCACACGUUGCGUCGAUUGGGUAUACGCUACCUCUCUUCGAUUUCCACCAUUCACACGUCUACCAAUGAAAGGACGGGAUGACCAAAGGGUUCUAUCUUGGUCUAUAUAAACACCCAUCUACUGCACCCAAAAUUCAUCUUCAUCACCUCAAAAUCAGAUUAAAUCGACAAGAUGUCGGGCAUUUCUUUGAGACCCAGAAGGAGGAUCAACCGUAACUACGACCUUCUCCUCCUCCGUAACGACUUUAAUUGCCUCUUCUAUGGACUGAGGCAAGACCGGGAGCAUGUCUACCACGAACUUCAGAGGAUUGCCCAUUUUUUACGGGCGAUUGUGGAGCGGCUCAACAUGGAGCCGAGGAGAUGAUCAUCCCCCACCAUCCCCUUAGUUUUAAGUUUUUUUAUUUCUAUUUUUUUUUUAAGUUCGUUGCAAGGUGAAGCUUUCAUGGUUAGGAAUGUUAGAUGAAAGCUUCUUUAUUUUGCUUGGUUUUUGCUGUAAAUAUGGUUCUGCACCAUCAAUGCAAUGAAUUAUCAAUGAAAUAUGUUUGUUUGCCUACAUUCGUGUAAAUUUAAAUUUUACAAUUUUGUUCUGAUUUAAUUUUUUGCAAUUUCUGAUAUUAGAAGAUGAAUCAAACGGUUGUGAGAUGUGAAAUUAAUGCUUGUUUAAUUUUGGUUUCUGGUUUAAUUCUUGUUUCCUGAAUUUUUUUCCACUGUAAUUUUACAUUUUUCUUCCUUUUUAGAAUUUUUGCAUGAGAUCAAGGUAGAAGAUGAACGGGAAAGUUGUCAGACGUCAAAUUAAUUCAUAUACGUUAAUGAAAAACUAAUCUGGUCUAUCCACGAUUAUGUUAAUUUAUACAAAAUUAAUUGUAGAGUCGAUGGGGUUAAUUUGAUACUGGUCUCAAUAUCUAUGCUCGAAAAAAUAUAUAAUCGAUGCUUUAAACAAUACGGGUCCAUCGAUUGUGUUCAGUAAAUUUCAUAGACUAUAAGCCUUGUCAAUAAUAUAUGUUGACACCUAAUUUUUGCCGUCCACGACUAAAUUUAAUCCUGAGUUUCUUCGAUUUUUAAUAAAAUCAAAAUAUUUAUUUCAUCCGAAUAAAAAAAAAUUUAAAAAUAUAUUUGCACGUAAUUUUAUCAUUUUAAGUGGCGAUUAUAUAUUAUCUUGUUCAAUUAUACAAUAUUAUGUAAUUUGAUUACUUAAAUAUUUAUUCAAUGGAAUAUCGGAUUUUAAUUAAGGAUUAUUUUAAAGAUAAAUAUGCUAAUUAAAAUAUUAAUUUAAUUAUAAUUUACUCUCCAAAAUAAUUUAUUUGGAUAAAUAUGUGUCUGAUUUUAUCAAAUUAAGAAGCUCGAGGUUAAAAGAGGUAUUAAUUUGUUUCGAAUUUUGAUUUAAUUUAGCCAAUCUAUUAGAUUUGGCCCUGAUUGAAAUCGAACUGACUCCAAUUGCGAUUCAAUUGGCCAAUUGUGUUUCAAAUUGGCCAAAACCUAAAUAGAAUUGGCCAAAUCCCCAAUACCCAAAAUUAAAUCAAUAAUUUCAGCCCAAAUCACCAGCUCAUUACCCUUUGCCAGACCCAUUCGGCCCAACACUAAAUCCUUUUAUUCUCCUUCAUCCACAAGCGUACAACAACAACAGUUGUGUACAAUACGUUCAAAUCAGUUAACAAACAGCACAAUUUCAACAACGAAAAAACCCAGCAAUACAACAACAUCAAUCAACAUCAGACACCUUCAAUAUCGUCAACCCAUCCACAACCCGAAUCCGAUGAAACCCGAUCCUAGCAUCGCAUACAGCUUCAACCAAACCCAAACUCAAUCCGACGCUCGCGUGCAUCACGCGCAUCCCACGUGAAUCUGUAGGAGAAAAGCAUAGGAAGCUUAUAGAAUAGGUACAGGUGUCUCCCUCAACGGAUCAAUUCCACAAAUCUCGGGUAUAGGGGUACGCUUUCGUACGUAUGUGAUACAAUUUCAUCGGGACUUGGUAAAAAUUCAUUUUCCCUAAAUCUGAUUAGUCCACCAAUUUCUAACGAAGUUGGUAUAAUUUGUUAAGGGGAAAUCUUAUCUUAAGUUCAAAUAGGGAAUUCCUUUUUGAAAAUUUUUAAAAUGCCACAUCGGUGGAACAUUUGGGAGGGAAAAGAGGGUCUUGAAAUCUUGAAGGCUGAAAAAGAGGCUUUCAAGCAAACAUUUUCUGUUAGUAAAAAAUAUUCUUCAAAAGCUGUCGGAAGUGUCGGAGUAGCUGUGAAGCUUUUUUGUCUCAUUUUGCUGCCCCGAAAGAGGUAACACUUCAUCUCUUUCAGUUUCGAAUAUUUUUCCUCUUCUUCUGGUCGAUUCUUCUUUUGGUAUCUUAGCCGUAUAAAUGUGUUAUUCGUAAUCAUAGUUGUAAUCAUUUUCACUGGGAUUGUUCAAUGUAGAAGCCAUAAAGGUUAUAGGAUUUUGUAAGUUGAUUAUUGUCCAUGUUGUUAUGCUUUAAUGAUAUCAGUGAAACCUCUCAAAAAAUCUUCUCAGUUCAAAAUACUGGAAAAGGUUUAGCGAAAGGGGAAGUAUAAUUUUUGUGAAUACCUUGUAGUAUUAUUCAAAGAAUUGAGAAAUUUGAAUAGAAUUGACCUCGCUGUCAUAUUAAUUUGUAUUUUGGGUGCAAGUGCUAAUCAUUCUUAGUUUGGUGUUGCAAUUAUUUGCUAUAUGGCCUUGCUGUUAGUAUUUUGGUUGCAAAGGCUAUCUACCUCUGUUACGUGACACUAUAUUUGAUUAAUCUUGAUCAACCCAGUAAGAUCUUAGAGGUUUAGGGCCUUUGUGUUUGUUUUGGGUGUUAUAAAUUGAAAAAUUCUUCAUUUUUACUUUACUUAAAAAUCCUCAAUAGUGUUGAAUAUCACUGAUUUUUCUUUCCUUUAAUGUUAUGGGUUUGAAUUUGAUAAAAUUUCAAAAAGGUUUAUUUUUUGUUUAGAGUGGACUUAGCCUUAAAAUUUAUUAAAAGCCGAUCGUGCCCUUUUGUGUGACCGUGAUUUAUUUUAUUGUAUGACAUUGAUCAGCAAAAUAUGGUUUGGCUUGGUAUAAUGUUGGGUUUUGAGUUGGAAAUUGUUUAAUCUUAUUCGCCUCCUGUUUACAUGUCAAUCCUUCAAAGAUUUUAAACUUGUGAUUUGGUGUGUUGGCUGUAGACUUUCUGGACACCUAGAAUAAGAAUAGUGUGAAAUAGAAAUUAGGCAAUGGCAUAUGACAUCUUUGGCCAUUUGGGUUUAAGUUUAAGUUUUAUUCUCUCAUGGUAAAUGUGUUCUUGGCUCACAUCCCUAAAGUCAGCUCCACCUUUAGUCUCCCUCACGUGUUAUUAGUCUUGACAGUGAAUGUGAUUUUAGUUUCUCUCAUUUUCUUUGCAUUUUGCUCACAGUCAUAAAAUUUGAGCAUUUUUCGUCUCUUUUUCACCUUUACCUGAAUAGUGGUUUAUUUCAAGAUUAACCGGAGUAUCGAGAGUAUUUCAAUGAUCUUGACUUUUGCACUAUUUUUGUUAAAAAUUGUCUACACGCUUUAGAAAAUAAUGCUCAGUUAAUCAUAGGGAAAUGCUGUUGGAGAUCUCGUUGAUUAUCCUUUUAAUCAUAUGGCUACAUUAUUCUAUUUUUAUUUGAUUCUUACGCAUGAGCUUGUUUCAUGUUUUUCUUAGGUUACUUUAUUGAUUUUAUCUCUCCUUUAGAAUAUAUAUUAAUUCCUUCUUCUUUUUCUUUGCAUGAACCCACCUUGGAGUUCAAAUAGACUUUUUCUCCUUGCAUUUCAUAAUGGGCUAACAUCGCCCACUUUCUCAAGUCAUGCCCGAAAGAGAAUCCAAAAUCGAUUACAUAGCAUACGGAUGCAAGAAGUCGAAAGAGGAAUAAUGGGUUAAAAUCCCAUCGUUGAAGUGGCCGAGGAAUUAGAAAGUCUCUUUUCUUUUAUUUGUUUAUUUAUUUAUAUAUUUAUUGUCGUCUUUUAUUUAUUUGUUUAUUUAUUUAUUCCUUUAUUCAUUCAUUUGGGCCUCGAAGCCAAAGUUAUAAAUUCAAUACAGGUACAGCAGGUUACGGGCCAAGGCUCAAAAACUAAAUUAGGCCAGGUGAAAUGGGUCGAAAGCCCAAUUAGACUAGGACAGGUCUCGCUGAUUUGGGCCCAAUGGCUAAAUCCUUUACUUUCUCCUCCCCUUCCCCCUCUUCUUUAUGCUUGUUUGCCUUAUGUGUUUUGUGAACCUAGUUAAAUUCUUAGCUAAGUCGCUAAAAAAUUGAUUUUGCAUAAAUAUCAAAAUAUUUCUAAAAUCGCUUUCUUUUCAAAAAUCAACUUUUCCUUUCUAAAUAGUCAAAGAUGUUUUUUUUUUUUCAAACAGUCCGGAUAAUCGCAAAUUAGCGGACGUUUUAGGUGUUUAACACCUUCCUAAAACGUUAUUAGGAAUCGCUUACUCAGAAUCUUCAAAACUUAAACAAUUUUUCUGUUUUGGAUCGUUUAAAGUAUUUUAGAAAGGUUUCUUAAUUUUUUUUCAAAAAUUAAGUGGCGACUCUUCGAAAUUCAAAAUUUCCGCAAAACAAUAUACAGUAUUGAUUUAUUGCCCUUAGUAGCAUAUUUGAAAAAAAAAAUUAAUCAGUAAAAUAAUAAAUAAUUAGAUUUUAUGCAAUUAAAGGGGCUUGAACAAGUCGUGUGGUAGUAUGAGAGUCCACAUAAAUUGGAUGAGGUGAGAAAUGAUGUGUAAGGAUGGGUAGUGGAUGAAUAAAUGAAUUUCUCACAACAUACUUGUGCUUUGGUGAACAUUGCCCUAAGGAUGUUGAUUGUUCAACCACAACUCAUCACCUCACACCUUGUUUCACCACUUUCAAUUUAUAUGGACCCUCAUACGAUCACAUGACUUAUUUAGGUUCAUUCGAUUUCAUAAAAUUCAAUUACUUAUUAUUUUAUUAAUUAAAUAAUCCUUUCGAAAUAUGUGCUAGUCAUGAUCUAUAAAUAUGUCAUAGUCUAGUGCAUAUAUUAAUGAAGAUGUACAAAAUUUAUGCUAGACUAUGCUUAGUUUUGUACUCGACCUUAUAUAGUCUAUCAUAGACUAUUAACUACUUCCACAAAGAAAUAACUAGACUAUAAUAUUUAUUCAUAAACCACAACUAGCACAUAUUUUGAGAAGGAUUAAUAAAAUAAUAAGUAAUUGAAUUUUAUGCAAUCGAAUGAGCCUAAACAAGUCAUUUGAUCGUAUGAGGGUCCAUAUAAAUUGAAAGUGGUGAAACAAGGUGUGAGGUAAUGAGUUGUGGUUGAAAAAAUGAAUUAACUCACAACAUACUUGUGCUUUGGGUAAACAUUGCCCCAUGCAUGUUUGUUGUUCAUCCACUAGCCAUCCUCACACAUCAUUGAUCACCUUAUAUAAUUUACGUGGACUCUUAUACGAUCACAUGACUUGUUCAAGCUCCUUUAAGUGCAUAAAAUUCAGUUAUUUAUUAUUUUAUUGAUCAAAUAAUCCUUUUCAAAAUAUGUUCUAGUUAUGGUCUAUGAAUAUGCAGCAUCGUCUAGAGAGGUUAUUAAGGAAUUAGCUCUUAGUAUAUGCUAGACUAUAUAUCUAUUCGGUGAAUCAUCUAUCAAAAUCUGAAAAGGCAUCGAUUAUAAAUAUGGUCUAUGAAACAAGACCAACAGUAAAAAAAUCCAAAAUGUCAAAUUCUUACAAUGGUAAUAAAGUACACAUCAAAUAAACACCCAACGGUAAUAUCUCACUUUUUCUUCUAUAAAAGGAAGGCUAUUUUUGUGUUAACACUCUCAUUUUUUUUUUCCUUUAGUUUUUGUUAACAACUACAAUGUCUCAAACAUCCCAAAAAUCAAAUGCAAAAGUGUCCUACAUAUGUCAUUGUGGCAAUCCAGCUAUUUUAAGGACGUCACGCACUGAUUGGAAUCCAGAUCGAAAAUUCUUUAACUGUGCGGUUGGAAAGGAUAAUGGUGGAUGCUCUUUUUUUAAGUGGCUUGACGAAGACUCACCGACGAGUAGUCCAUCAACAUCAAAUUUUCGAGGCGCUUCCAAGUUUCAUAUACUCCAAAGGCUUCAGGAAUCCGAAGAAAAUAGAGAUCUACUCAUGAAAUUGCUAAAAGAAGCCGAAGAGCAAAGGGAUUACUUGAAAGGAUCUCUAAAAGAAGUCGAAAUAGAGAGGGAUCAAGUAAAGCAAAGGCUGAUUUUGGCCGAGAAAAAUGAGAAAGGCUUACAAAAUUUGUUGUAUGAUUUGUUAUUGUUGUUGGCUUUCUGGAAAGGUGUAAUAGGGAUAUAGGAAACUGAAUAAAUAGACGUAAGGUUUCUCAAAUCAAUCCUGGGUGUAAUCUAUAAUUAAUAGAGAAUUAUGUCUACGUCUUUUAUCAUCUACCUCUAUAAACCAUGAUAUUUAAGGUUAAGUAAAUGUAUGAAUUACUCAAUCGAUAGUAUGUUAAGUCUAUAAAUUAUAGAGAAUAACUUCUAUUAUAUUUCCAAUCAACCACUAUAAAUUAGGACAAUAGCUAAACUGAUAACGCAAUGCAGGCAGCUGUUUAAUCUAACGAGACAAUGGAAUAACUGAACAUUAUUUCAUCAGUAAAUGUCAUCAUUGACAUGUCAAAUAUAUGUAAUUCAACUAUCCAUAAUGAACAAAUCACUAAAAAAAACAUAUAAAAUAUAAGUAAUUCAAUUUAUCCAUAAAGAACAAAUCACUAAAAAAAAAUCAUUAAGAAAAUUGUUUGUUCCAAAUCCACAAAACUACUUAUUUUCUUGAUUGAGUUCUACAACAAUGCCCAUCACAUCUACUUCUUUUUAUUCAUGUUUUUUCUCCUCUUCUUCAACUUGUUUCUUCUUAUUUUCCUUCUCUUCUUCUUCUGAUGAUUUCUUCUCUUCUUAAAUAUUUUCAACCUCCCGUUCGACCACUAAUUUUUCUUCAACUGCCUUCUCAUUUUUGUCUUCUUCUUCUUCUUAUUUCUUUUCACCAUCUUCUUUUGUUUUCUCCUCAUUUUCUUCUUCUUCUUCUUCAUCUGCUGCAUUCUCCUCUCCGUUUCUUAUUCUUUCUUCUUUUCUUCACCUUUUUAAUCUGCUGCAGCCAUGUUCGUCACUGUGAUUGCAAGUUCCUCGAGGUUUACUUAAUGCCGGCUAACAGGGGGCUAUCAAGGUGCACUGUAUUAUUUUAAAAGGAUUAUUAAACAUAUACAACAAAAUUAAAUUCUAAAAGCGAAAAAUAAAUUAAUUUACCUUCUUCUUGUUGCUUCUUCUUAUUCUUUUCGAUUCUCCUUAGCCUCUCAUCUCUAAUAAAAGAAGCAAUAUCUAGUAGACUUUUCUUGAGCAAGGCAACGCACUCGCACAGGUCAUCGUCAUUAGAAGCGUCUGGUGAAUUUUUGAGUCCACUUGAACCAGCAAGAUCACAAGAGCGUGGUGGACUUGGAACAUAAUGGUGGUCACCUAAAUCUUCGUCUUCGUCCGUGACCUCCGCUGAUGAAGUCAGGACAGUCACGCCUUUUAUCUACGCCUUCAACGCAUUGAUGGAUGUAUCCUUAACUUCGUCCGUGUAUGUCUUAAAAGUUUUCAUGUAUCUCUGUUCCAUCUCACGAACAAUAGGGGUAACGUACGAGUGCACAAUCUAUAAAAGAUAAAAAUAAAUUAUAAGACAUUCGCUAAUAUAAUAAUAUUAGUAUCAUAUCAUAAUAAGUAUAAUUUUACCUUUGUGUUGUUUCCUUUAUACUUAAACGGAUCAUCUUCCAUUAUGUUGUUGCACUUCGACGUGUGCCAUCGAAGAAGACGGAGAUGGGUGGGGGAGAAUCCAACGACUUAUCGGCGUACCUUUCCAGAUGAGGAAAGGCCUCAUAUAUCCAAACCUUCAAUCAAUAGAAGCACAAGUAAGUCUACAGUGUCUAUGUAUUACUACAUAAAUAUGUAGGGAUCUAUAAUAAAUCAAUAGGUUGGUUGAUUAUAAGUACCAAAAACGCCCAGGGAAAGCCAAAUAACGCGUACGAUGCAUUAUUCCUCUUCACAAAAGCUUCUUUCUGCUUGGUUAGAUCAGUCUUCUUUUUCAGAUAGCUCAAGGUCAGAUCAAAGGACUCUUUUCCCCAUGAAUAUCCACCGAAUAAUUCUAAAUUAGACACCAUUUUGAUGUGGUCCGAAUCCACCUUCUUUACCGGGUCCUUUGCCAAAAGCAUCGGUGCACAAACAAAACAAAGCACACUUCAACUUUUGUUGAUUAUUCAGCCUAUUACCUUUCAUCAGGCUAAUCAAUUUUGCAGCAGUAAUGCUCUUGUUCUUCGUCACCUUAAAAUGAAAGCUUUCUCCAUUUUGGAGAACUUUGUUCAUUUUUUAUUCACGGGGAUAUGCUGAAAAAUUCAGCCCCGUAAUCAAAGCAAAUUCCUUUAAGCCAAAACAAGCUGGCUUACCAUUCACACAAAAUCAAAUUUCAUGCAGUUUUUUUUUUAUACGUCGCAGCAACAUAUAAUGAACCAUCUGUCCAUUAAACUUAAAAUGUUCUAAAAUAUUCCUCAAGUGUUCGAAACAUAUCUUCUUAAAAUCACAAUACAACUUUUGUUCAACAAGAACCCAUGUAAACUUUCGAUAUACCGCCAUUCUUACUCUCACAGAAAUCUUUAUAGGAAAAGAGCCAAGAUCAUCCAUCCAGGUUGUUAGGCCGUACGACUCAACGGAGAUAUCUCUCGCACAAAUUGGCAAGGAUAGGGGAUCCUCCUCCCCGUCUCCGCUAUCUCUCCUAUCCUCACUGUCCCCGCUAUCACUUUUACUUUCUUCUUCGCUUUUUCCCUCACUUUUACCUUCACUAUCCUCAGCAUCCUCACUCUCGUGUACACUACUUUCGUCAUAUUCAAAAAUAUCGGCAAGGAUUCUUGAUUCAGUUUUUGACUCCGAUUCAUCGACUACGGGUUUUUUUCUCUUGGAAGUUUUCAAAAAAAAAUGAAUUUUCGCUUCCUUCUAGUAGAAGCAGUGGAAGUAGGCCUUUUAACCGCUCUAUAAACUCUUCUCACCAUUUAUGAUCUAUAGCAAAAAACGAAUCUGUAGAGGUCGAUUUAUCGACCACUGAUCUAUUAGAAAAAACAAACAAAUGCAACAAAAACAAAUUUACAGUGGUCGAUCUAUCGACCACUGGUAUAUUAAGAAAAAUGAAAAAACGUCUCACAUCAAACAUGCAAUUCAAGUUCCAACUUUGGCAGUGCAAUUCACAACAACAAGAAAACCAUUAAAAUAGGUUCAAUUCAGUAUAAAAAAUUCAAAAUCAAACGCAAUAUAACUAUAAAAAUUGAAAAAAAAUCAAAUCAUUAUCCAAAGAAAAACCCAAUUAAACAUGCGAAAUCGACAAUGUUAACUAAAAACACUCAAAUUUCAACUAAUUCAACGAAGAACGGUGCAAUUUUUGUCAAGAUCGAAAAACUCCAACACAAAGAGUCAUCGAAAAAAAUUACUAAAUUGAAUCAAGAACUGAUUAGGGAAGAAAAUUACACUUACCUGAGCAAGAGAAAUUCAAAAAAUUCGCCUGAGGAAGCAAGAAUCAGCCAAAUUAUUUUUUUUUGAAAAAAUAGGAACCAAAAUCGGUAGAAGAGUUUGAGGAGAGAGAAAUGUGUAAUUGAAAAUAUUAAAUGGUUUUAAUAAAUAUUUUUAAAAUUGAAAAAUAUAAAAAGGGACCAUGUUGUAGUUUUAAAAAAGUUGUAUUUUUUUCCCAAGUUUUAAAAAUAUUAAAGGAACUCAUGACCCCACAACCCUGGGCCACUUUUUAGACGUAAACCUAAAAAAUAAAUGAAAAAGAAAUUUGGUGUCUAUGGCUCAAAAUAAGUUUUGAAAGUGGAUAGGAAUCAAAAUUGUCUCUAGUAGCUAAGCCUUUAGUCAAUAUGUCUACUGGUUGCUUAUGAGUUUCUAUAUACUUGGUUGCUAUCAGACCUUGCAUGAUUUUAUCUCUUAUGAAAUGACGAUCUAUCUCUAUGUGUUUGGUUCGCUCAUGAUAUAUUGGAUUAGAAGCUAUUUGAAGAGUAACUUCCACAUCAAGUUGUGUUAAUAAACCAAACUAUCCACACAAGCUCUGCCACAACAGAAGCCAUGCUUUUGUAUUCAGCUUCUGCUGAACUCCUUGAGACUGUGGUUUGAUUUUUUGAUUUCCAAGUGAUAAGAGAUUCUCCAAUUUUCACAAUGUAGCCUAUAACUAACCUUCUUAAGUUAGGACAUGCAACGUAGUCAGCAUCACAAUAGGCUGGAUAACAAAAUACCUUGUCCUAGUUGUUUCUUCAGGUACUUAACUACUCUAAGUGCAACAUCCAUUUGAGAUUGUUUGGGUGCUUGAAAAAGUUAGCUUAGAGCUUGAACACAAAAAGCAAUAUCAGGUCUGGUCAUUGUAAUAUACAAAAACUUACCGUAUGAUAAGAACUUUGAUCUGCUAACUUGUUUGUCUGACAUAUUCAUCAUACUCUCUUAUGGUUAGUUUCAACAUUUGUAUCCACAGGUGUUAUGGCUUGUUUAGCAUCUCCAAGACCAAUUUCUGAGACCAACUCUAAUGCAUAUUUGCUCUGAUGCAUUAGAACGCCUUUCUCAGGUCCGGAAAAUUCAAUACCAAGGAAAUAUCUUAAUUCUCCCUAGUCCUUCCUUCAUUUAAAAUAUCUCUUGCAAGGCCAACUUAGCGUCUUGAAUCAAUUUAAGGUUAUGUCUUGCUAUUACCAUGUCAUGUAUAUAUAGUAGAAUCAAGGUCGUACCUUCAGUAUUCUUUUUGAUAAAAAAUGAGUGAUCAUAAUUACUUUGUCGAAACUUAAAUCUCAACAAUGCUUCAAUAAGUUGGGCUUUCAUUCCAAAAAGGAUGUUUCAAGACUUAUUUUGUCAUUUUGACAAAAGUCUUGAAAAAAUUGUCAUAUACCCACAUUAAUCCACUUCAUCAAUAACUUUUCCAACUCAACAAAUUCACCUACAAGUUUCUAAUAAUAUACUUUAACCCAAUCUUUCCAACUUAACAAACUCACCCAAGUUUCUAGUAAUACACUUCAACCCACUCCAUCAUCCACCAUUAUAUAUAAAAUAUAUUGGGUUUCCAAAAAUAAUUUUAAAAAAAUUCAAAAGCUUAAAAUAUAAGCUUUCAUUUCCGUCCAAAAAGCUCUGAUUCCGGCAUUAUUUUCCAGCGAUCAGCUCUAAAUCAUUCCACAAACAUCAUGAGCUUGUCCAUUGCAUCCAUUGUUACCUCAUUUGUCUGCUAUCUUCUCAAACACACUUUCUACCAUUGUUAAAAAACUUUAAAUCACUCACAUUAUACUCAAAACCACUUUAGAAAGUAUAUUACAGAAGCUCAGGCGACUCCAAGUUCAGUUCUCUAUUCCAUAAAUCCAAUGAUCGUUGAUUAGAAGCAAUAUUUGCAAUUUGAAGAUUUUUGUAUGGAUAUCAGCCCAGUCAUCGUCAGUCAUUGAUCACGCAUACAUCCCGAAAUAAACCCUCAGCAUAAUCUACUAUUGACCAAAGCUUAAUUCUAGGAUGUCUAUUGCAAAAUUUGUUCUAGUUUCUAAUGAUUUCAUGGGAGAAUAGGAGAAGACUCCCAAAUGUUGAAAAUGAAAAUAUUUUACUAAGCUGACAUUGCCCAUUGCGGUUUGUCGCAAUGGUUCAUACGAUGAGUUGGUUGCAAGCGUAAUGGAGAGCGAGGAUCUAGAUUGCGCGCUGAGAGACAUGGUGAUUAGUUAUCUAAUGCAUUCGAGGGAAAAGGUGCAUCCUACGAUCAUAAAUAAUGAUAAACGCGUGUCUUUGUACAUGGUGGAUGUUAAUGCUGAUGGCUUUAGGCCUAUUUUAAGGACAAAUGUAGUUAAGAGGCCCUUUGAAGAACCGUUGAAUUCAUCACCACCCCUACCUAGGCACCCGAUAGUCGACAAUGAUUUGAAUAAUUAUGAGAACAAUGGCGAUCAUUCAGUUAAUAUGGAAGAUGAUUCUAUGCAUAUGGAAUAGGUUUCAUUGGACUCAUAAGAUGCGGAAGAAGAUUGUGGAACGGGAUCACAACCAAGACAUUCCUUCACCGAUGAAACUAAUUUCUAUCGUGAUCAAACAUUCGCUGAUAAGAAAGAGCUGAAAAUACUACUAGACAGAGCAUCGAUGAGGUAGUAUUUUAAUUAUUUUACGGAUAAGAGAUGAACAAAUAUGUUGAAGGUGAAAUAUGUAUCUCGUGGUUGUGGUUGGUUGUUACGGGUAAGGAACUACAAAUCCUUGAACAGAUUUCACAUAUUCAAUUAUGUUGGGUUCCGCACGUGCGGUGUUGAACACACUACGGGCAGGCAUAAGAAAAUAUCAUCCGAGAUAAUUGCUUUACUAUGAGUAAAUUAUUUUUGUGAUGGUAAGGGUCCAAACAUAAGAGAAAUUCAGAGGAUUGUGUUUAGGGAGAUGCUUGUUCAAUGAAUACAACUGUAGAUUGCCUUGAUUAAAUUCAUGAAGAGUAAAAAUUAUGUGAGAAUAAAUCCAGAUCUCAUAUAUAGUCUCUAUCGUAGACAAGCAAAUCAAUCUAUGCUACACUAAAUAAUAUUUUAUGCACUAUCAUCGAUCUUAGACACGUCACUCCUCGAUCAGACAUAUAAGUCGAUCAUAAACCAUUUGAAUCAAUGAAUCAUCAGUAGCUUGUAGUUUGAAAGAAAAUAAUUAAAUUUAAAAGUUUAAACACAUAAUCACAUGAUUUGAAGGUGGUGAAAGAAAAUAACUAAAUUAAAAAAAGUUUAAACACAAAAUCACAUGAUUUGGGGGUGGUGAAAGAAAAUAAAUUAAAUUAAAAAAAGUUUAAACACAUAAUCACUUGAAUUGUUGAAUUGUUGAAUUGUUGAAUUGUUGGCUAAACAAACAAUCUUGAACUAUUAGUGAUACUUAAUAUACUGUCAUCGAUGUUGGCCCAUGUCAAUCCCAUUUUAAAAAUAUACUUGUGCUUUAAGGGUUCAUCGAUUCCUUUGGUCUAUCCUAGACUUACAUAGUAGGUCGUGCAUCGAUUGCUCUCUUGAUCAUUCGUAGAUCACAUAGAUCUAUGUACAUGGUUAUAGACUCUCACUUGGAUGUUAUUUAAAAAUAAAUAAUUAAACAAAAAAUAAAUAAAUUGUGGGUUUCUACACAUAUGAAGGAGUUUAAACAAGUCGCAUUAUCUUGUUAGAGCUUACACAAAUUGGAGGUGGUGAUUGAAGGAUUAUGUGGAUGGAUAGUGGUUAAACAAUCAACAUCCUCAAAGUAAUGUUUGUCAAAGCACAAGUAUGUUUCGAGGAUGUUGAUUGUAUUUGAUGACUACCCAUUCAUAUACUCUUUUGAUUUGGGGGUGGUGAUUGAACGAUUAUGUCGAUGGGUAGACAUCAAAUAUAAUCAACAUCCUCAAAACAUACUUGUGCUUUGACAAACAUUACUCUUAGGAUAUUGUUUGUUCAACCACUACCUAUCCCCACACACUUUAAUUCACCACUCCUACUUUGUGUAAACUCUAAUAUGAUUAUGUGACUUGUUUAAACUCAUUCAUAUGUGUAGAAUUUCACACUAUAUUUAUUUUUUACUAAUUUAUUCAUUUUUAAACAAUAUGCUAGUAAGGACCUAUAAUUAUAUACAUACAUCUAUGAGAUCUAUCAAUGAUCCAAAGAUCAAUUGAGCCACUACCUACAGUGUAAGUCUAUGGUAGACCAAUUGAAUCGAUGGACCCUCAAAGCACAAGUAUAUUUUUUAUUUAAUUUAUUUUUUUAAAACAUGUUAUUGAGGGUCCAUCAAUUACGAGUGUCUACGGUAGACUUCAAUAUCUCGUUGAUGAUUGACAUAGGUAAUGAUCGAUGACAGUCUAUUAGGUGUCACCAACAGUUUAAAAAAUACAAUUACUGUUCCAACAAUAACAAAGGGCUAAUUUUGUAUUCCUUCAAUAUUAACACUUUUUUUACUUCAUAUAUAAAGUCUUCGAUCCCUCAUUAUUUUAUUUCAUCCACUUUAUUUUUAUUUUAAAAUUCUACAAUGUCUCAAGCAUCUCAAACAUCCAAUUCUGAAAAGAUACUAAUUUGCCAUUGUGAAAAUGUGCAUGUCUUGAGGACAGCACGCACAGACUCAAAUUCAGGUUGCAAAUUUUAUAAUUAUGUAAUUGCGAAGUUGAGUCGUGUAUGUCUGUUUUAAAAUUAAGUAAAUCGUUGUGUAAUUAUUAUUUUUUUUAGAAUAAUGAUGUAUGCUAGUUUUUUAAAUGGCUUGAUGAGGUAUCACCUCCAAGCAAUCCAUCAACGUUGAGUCUAGGAUUCGAGACAUCAAAUUUUCAUGGCGUGGCUAAAUUUAAUCUACUACAAAAGCUCUAAGAAUACAAAAAAAAUAGAAUUUUCUCAUGAUUUUGUUCAAGAAGCCGAAGAGCAGAGCGGUCACAUGAAAGUAUUGCUACAAGACACCCCAAAUUAAAAGGGAUCAACUAAAAUAAAAAUUGAUUUUGGCCUAAGAAAGGGAGAAUGGCCUAAAAAUGAUGUUAUGUGGUAUAAUGCUAGUAUUCUUUGUUUGGAACGGUGUAACAUGGAUGUAGUGAGAUUGGAUAAAUAAAAAUAUUUUUAUUUUUCUAUAAUGGCAAUACUGUUUUUCAUAGAAUCAUAAUUGAUCAAACUACACACCAACUUAAAAUCGAGUAGCAUGGUAAUGAUAGACUAUGCUAGCAAGUAUACAAAAGGUUAAAUAUGCAUUCUAUGAUGUCAAUCAUACACUGUAUCAGUUAUGACAACACAAUGCAUAUUCAAAUUUCAUGCAAUAAUAUAGUUUGAUAAAAAUAGAAUCAGUGCAGAAUCCUAACAACUUUCAUAAAAUAAAAAAUUGUUUGACAUAUCAUUCCGACAAUCAUUCAACUCUCUUGUUUCUCAAAUAAAAAAGUCUUAAACAUUAACAAUAUUAGCAUUCAAAUAUUUUUUUCCUCAUCAUCACUAUAUUCCUUCAAUAUUAACACUUCUUGUCUUCUCCUUUUUCAUUGUCUACUGCUAAAAACAAUUUUGUCAUUGUCAAUUCAUAGACCACAAGUCUACUAACAGAAACAAUUUAAUGCUCAAAUGAAAAAUUCAAAAUAACGAAGAAUCACCCCACCGUUAAAUAGUUCACUACAUGAAAAUACCAGAACUGAACCAAAAUUCAACAGUGUGAUGAACAAAAAAAUUUUAAUCAAACAUCCGGUAUAAAAACUGAACUAUUGCUACAAAUCAAACUAAUUAGCUAUUAAUGUUUCAAUUUUCACUAUUUCAUCAAUCAUAUUUUAAAAGAAUUUCAUACACCUAAAAAUUAAUUUUAGUCUAGGACAUUGUUAUUUCAUAGACCACAAGUCUACGGACAGAAACAAGUCAUUGUUUCAAUCAAAUAGCCAAAAUAACUUGUAAAAUAAUAAUUAUUCCAUAAUUCAACACCGCAGUGCUCAAUAAAUAUCAGAACUAAAUCAAAACUCCUUAACAAAAAUUUUUAAAUUCAACACCAUGAUCGACGAAAAAAUCUGUCGAAACUACCGAAUCAAAACUCAACCAUUGUUUAAGAAUCAAGAUAAUUACAUAUAAAAUUUACAUAUUUUAACUAUUUAAUCAACCACGUUCGAAAAAAAUCCUAUACUACAUCACUACGAAACGGUUAACAAUAAAAAAUGAUAAAACGGAUCUACAAAUAAUCGAAACUUGAUUUUAACUAAUCUUACAAUGCAAAAAUGAGCCCUUUGCCGCUGGAGAAGAAGAAAAUAAAAAAUGAAGUUUGAGAGAAUUCUUGAGAGUAGUUGAAGUUGAAGAGGAGAGAGAAGGGUUUUUAUUUAAUAUUGGAAGAAGUGAGGAGUGUUAGAUGUGUAAUAUUAAAUUAUCAAAGUUGUAAAAAUGAUAAAAUGGUCCCUUAGCCCACGUGUGGGCUAUAACUUUUUUCCACUUUUUUAACCCUAACCCUAAAAAUUAACUGAAAAUUAAAAUGGGAGGGUAUAUAGCAAAAUAGUUUUGGAAAAUUUCUACUAUGCCAAUUUUUCCCCGGUAAGUUUGGCAUUCUAUUGUUUGGGUGCUUUCUUUAGACCAUAUAAGGAUUUCUUGAGUAUGCACACCAUAUUUUCCCCCCGACUCUAAAAUCCUUAAGGCAAAUCCAUAUAUAUCUCAUCAACAAGAUCACCUUGGAUGAAAGCAUUGAACACAUCCAUUUGAUGGAUGUGCCAAUGUCUAUUAGUAGCAAGAGCUAGAAUAGGCUUCGAGCGGCUCAGAGUAGGCAAUAAAGUUAUGUGGACCGCAAGUUUUGUGCCUUAAAGUUUGGGAUUGGCGAUCGACUCAUCCUUCGUGUGUCGCCCAUGAAGGGCGUAAUGGGGUUCAGAAAGAAGGGCAAACUCAUCCCUAGGUAUAUCGGGCCAUUUGCGAUUCUUCUAAUAGUUGGGGAGGUUGCUUAUGAGUUGGUCUUACCUCCAGAAUUUACAGAUGUUCAUCCAUUUUUUCAUGUAUCUAUGCUUCCACGUUAUAUUCUGGAUGGGUCUAGCGUGCUUCAUUGAGACUUGAUUUAGUUGGACGAGAGAAAGAUCUUUGUAGAGGAGCCAAUCUCCAAUCUAGCCAGAGAUGUUACAUGGCUGCGUUCUAGAGAUAUUCUUGUGGUUAAGGUCCAAUGGAGGCGCCGUCCUGUUGAAGUGCUGUCCUGGCAGUGAUUUUUACAAUAGGAAAGAAAGUUUCUUGGUAAUCAAUUCCUUCUUUUUGGCUAUAACAUUUAGCUACUAGCCUAGCUGUAAACCUCUCAACUUCACCAGAUGCUUUGUACUUAAUCUGAUAGAUCCACCUACAACCAAUAAGUCUUUUUACCACCAGAAAAGGCAAUAUCCCAUGUAUGAUUAGCUUGAAGGGCAUCAAUCUCUGAUUUCGUAGCAUCUAUCCAUCUAGAAUCCUUCAUUGCUUCAACAUAAGUACUAGGUUCAGUGGUAACUGAAAAGGCUGCAAUAAACUAUUGAUAUGGAGAAGACAGAUGAGUGUAGCCAAUGUAAUCAGAAAUAGGAUAAGGGACAGCCUUGUUUACACUCAGUGACACAAAAUCUUUAAGCCAAACCGGUGGAUUUCUAUCUCUGCUAGACCUCCUAGUAGCAGUAUUUGAGGUAGUAGAUGUAUUAGUAGGUGGUGCAUUGACAUGCUCUAUUUCAUGAUCAUGAUCAUGCACCUCCUCGGCUACUGCACGUUCAUUACUAUCUUGACAGUCUAGAGACGGUGUCUCAUAAUGGAAGUCAGUUGAGAAGGCAAGAAAAAUAGUCAUGUUGUUUGAUUCUGCAAGAGUUUUAAAAGGAAAUAUCUCUUAUCUAAAUUGAACAUCUCGACUGACAAACAACGUUUGUGUAUCCAGAUCAUAUAACGCAUAGCCUUUUUUCGAGUCAUGGAAUACCCUAGAUGUACAACUUUUCUGGAUCUUGGCUUCAACUCGUCCAAUUCCUGCACUACUGAUUUCCGAUAUGAUCAGGGAAUAUUUCCUUCUUUUCAGUUCCAUCAACAAGCCUCAAUGCUACUUUCAUUGAUCUAUACCAGAUCGAAUAGUUUUCAAUUCCGGUGAGUUGGAACGAAAUGAUCUAUAUAUGUACCACCGACAUCAGAAGGACAGAGAAACGGAGGAUGACUAUAGUCAAUCUCAUUUCCUUGACAGGGAAUCGAUCCACUAGACGAAACUACACCUGGAACUUGAGAAUUAUCUCCAUUCACAGCCAUGAUUUCCCAAAGAAUGUUUCAAGAACCCAAGAAUCUAGAAACAAGAAAUCAGAAUCGCGGAAUAGCAGUAUUAGAAUCUGGCUCUGAUACCAUGUAAUCACUCAAGAGAUCAAUGCGCAAGCGUUCAUAGACAAAAGAAUAUCAAGAACAUGAAAGCUUAGAGAAACGGAGAAGUAGAGAAUCAGAUGAUAGAAGAAGAAAAAGAAGGAGAAGAAGAAGUGAUUGUAUUCAUGUGUAGAAUAAGAUUGAACCAACUUGAUAACAAUACACUGCUAAGUACAAGUGUUUAUAGAGGGUUAAAGGAGAUCAACUAACUUCUAAACUACUUAGCUAACUAACAGUCUUGUAACUAACUUUUCAAAAAGCAGUUAUUACUGUAGCUAAGACUAAGACUUAAUUGUUUCAUCCACUUAGACCCCAUUUGUUGCACUUAAUGGAGGUCUGAAUCUGAAUGGUUCAGACUUUAAACCAUUAAAUGCAUUUAUUUUUUAAUUAAGAUUUUAGUUCUUAAUAGGUCUGAAUAGGUUUUAAUCAUUCAGAUCUGGAACCAAGUCUUAAUAUCAUUAAGAGGUAUUCUUGUAUUAGAUAAUAUUCACCUCCACUCUGUCCAUAAUCACUAGUCACCACCAGUAAUCACCUCUACCACCGCCAACAUUGUUAAUCACCACCCACCACUACCAAUCACCAACCACCUCCACCAUCACAACCACCAUUGACAACAAAUAUCGUUAUAAACCACUAUUAUCAACCGCUACCACACCUACCACCUCCGUUAUUCUAAUUAUAUCCACCAUUACCACCACCGCCAACGACACGGCCAUCAUCAACCACUAUCGUUCAAUCUCUGUUACCGACUAACUCAUCUAUCACAACUAGCACCACCACUAACUACCACUAAUAAAUCAUCAACCUCCACACGUUCUUCGGUCACCACCACCAUUGUCACUAGUGUCACCACCUAUAUCACCACUUCAACCACUAUCAUCGUUACAAUUUAUCUUUAAUUUACUAAAAACCAUCUCCACCAUCACAACUAACAACGUCUCUAACUAGCACCAACUCAUCGUCAGCCAUCAUGCAUUUAUUUUUUGGUCAUUACAAUCAACACCUCCAACUACUAACAUCAACCAACUUCUACUAUCAAUCGUCACCAUCAUAACAGUCACUAUAAUACCAACCAUCACAACUAUCACCGCCAACAUUACUAAUUAAUAAUAUCAAUCAUAGUUACCGCAACCACCAUUACAAACCAUCUCCAAUAUCACUAACAAACAUAAAUAUUUUUUUCCAAUCAAAUAAUAAUUUUAUUAUAUUAAAUUGCACAUUUUUCUAAUAUAUAAUUAUUUUUUUAUUCGAAUUAUUUUUUUUAUUUUAUUAUAUAUACAAAUAAAAUUUAUUUUGCACAUUCAGAAUUGAAAAACAAGCAGUCUUAACCAUUCAGUUUUCUGACCUAGAGGCAACAUUUUAAUCAUUCAGAUGUGCAUUCAAAUUCAAACGUCUGAAUCUUAAUAAAAACAAAUAUAACCUUAACCACAUUAGGUAACAUUUUCUUCAAUACAUUCAAAGUUGAAAAUUGAUAUAAUAGAUGUUUCCUUAAUUUUAUAACAUUUUACUAAUAUUGAUAUAAUAUAUGCUUCUACAACUAACUUUUAGUCUCUAGCUUAACUCGAAUCUUAAGUAAAAAUAUUGUUUUCACAAUUUUAUUCAACAAAACAAAAUUAUAAGAGAGGUUAUAUAUCUAUAUUAGUGAAAAGCAAAAUUAGUUCUUAGAAUCGUAUGAUCAUAUAAAGACCGGACUAAAGGUGUCAAGUGAGUCGGGUCGGGCCAAAUCGGAACUGACCCGUUUAGUUUAAUCGGGUUGUGGGCCGGUUCCGGUUCGGGUUGAGUUAGGUGGACCGGGCCGGUUUCGGGUUCAACAGUAAAAAUGUUGAAAACAACCCUGAACCAGCCCACUUAACCCAACCCGGUUAAACCCACCUAAACCCGGUCAAAUCCAGUUAAAAAUCGGUCAAACCCAUUUUAAAAAAAUGAAAAAUCCAAUAUACACUACAUACACUACAAUUAUAUACACUAUAUACACUUCAAUAUACAGUAUAUACACUACAAUUAUACAAUAUAUAUUUUUUAAAAUAUAUAUNNNNNNNNNNNNNNNNNNNNNNNNNNNNNNNNNNNNNNNNNNNNNNNNNNNNNNNNNNNNNNNNNNNNNNNNNNNNNNNNNNNNNNNNNNNNNNNNNNNNNNNNNNNNNNNNNNNNNNNNNNNNNNNNNNNNNNNNNNNNNNNNNNNNNNNNNNNNNNNNNNNNNNNNNNNNNNNNNNNNNNNNNNNNNNNNNNNNNNNNNNNNNNNNNNNNNNNNNNNNNNNNNNNNNNNNNNNNNNNNNNNNNNNNNNNNNNNNACACACUAUAUAUAUAGUUAUAUACUAAUUUAUAAAACAUAUACACAUUUAUACGUUAAAUAUAUACGCUUAUAGAAGAUAUAUACACACAUAUACGCAUCAUUCAAUAUAGAUGUACUGCUUUAAAUAAAAUAUGUACUACAAUAUACAUAUAUAUAUACAACAAUAUGUAUAUAUAUAUAAUUACAUACUAAUUUAUAGAAUAUAUGCACUUGUAUACGUUAAAGAUAUACGUCUAUAGAAGAUAUAUACACAUAUAUACGCACCAUUCAAUAUAUAUGUACUACUUUAAAUAAAGUAUAUACUACAAUAUGUAUACUACAAUAUACACACACACACACUACAUAUAGUUAUAUACUAAUUUAUAAAACAUAUACACAUGUAUACGUUAAAUAUAUACGUCUAUAAAAGAUAUAUACNNNNNNNNNNNNNNNNNNNNNNNNNNNNNNNNNNNNNNNNNNNNNNNNNNNNNNUAAAUAAACUAUAUACUACAAUAUAUAUGUAUUACAAUAUAUAGAUAGUUAUAUUAUACUAAUUUAUAAAACAUAUACACAUGUAUACGUUAAAUAUAUACGUGUAUAGAAGAUAUAUACACACCAUUCAAUAUAUAUGUACUACUUUAAAUAAAAUAUAUACUAUUCUACAGUAUACAUUUAUAUAUACUACAAUAUGUAUAUAUAUAUAUAUAUAGUUAUAUACUAAUUUGUAAAACAUAUACACUCGGAUAUAUUAAAUAUAUACGUUAAAUAUACCUAUGUAUAGAAGUUAUAUACAAUAAUAUACAAAACAUAUACUACUUAAUAUAAUAAAUUAAUAAUACUUGAUAGUUAAUUAAUGAAUGUUGAAUUUUAUUGAUUCCAAAAUGAACCAAAAUUUAUAAUUUACAUGAAUAAAAAAUCUACAAACUAUGCAUCAUUUUUNNNNNNNNNNNNNNNNNNNNNNNNNNNNNNNNNNNNNNNNNNNNNNNNNNNNNNNNNNNNNNNNNNNNNNNNNNNNNNNNNNNNNNNNNNNNNNNNNNNNNNNNNNNNNNNNNNNNNNNNNNNNNNNNNNNNNNNNNNNNNNNNNNNNNNNNNNNNNNNNNNNNNNNNNNNNNNNNNNNNNNNNNNNNNNNNNNNNNNNNNNNNNNNNNNNNNNNNNNNNNNNNNNNNNNNNNNNNNNNNNNNNNNNNNNNNNNNNNNNNNNNNNNNNNNNNNNNNNNNNNNNNNNNNNNNNNNNNNNNNNGUUCAAGAUAUCUCUAGCUAAUGUUGAAAGCACGGGAUAUUGUGAUUCAUUAUUCCUCCACCAAUCCAACGUGUUGAUCCAUCGUCUUCGAUCCUCUGGCGGAGAUCGAAGAUAAUACUUAAGCUCUUCCCGAUAAGUUGAUGUGUAAGCUCCCUCGUCAACACUGUUCCAACAGGGUAAAUCAUAAAAGAAAUCAGGAAAACCACAAUGUGUCGGCCUUUUAGAAAAUGAUGGCACCUCAGGAGGAUGAGAAGCGACAGUUGGACUGAUAUAUGUCGGUACAGCUAAAUAAACUAAAUCAGCAUAGUGGUUAUAUAAUUUAUCUAUGUAAGCAUUCGCAUCAGACAUAGCCGUCCACAAAUCAGGUUGUACUUGUUCAGAAUCAUUGUUAGUAUUUAUUUCUAAAUUACGAUAAAUAAGAGUACUAAAGUGGCACAAAGUAUGGUAUUUAAUGCACGGAUUUAGUAUAGCACCAACCAAGAAAAUAGGGAAAAUCGAAAAAAAAUAUUUUUUGAAUUUAGUAAACAUGGCACCAACAGCAUUUUCAUAAUCUUCUUUAUUUUUAUAUUCUUUGAGCAAACCAAAAAUAUCGGUUAUAUAUCCCAAAAUAUUACAAACAGUAGGAUAAUAAGCACCAAAAAAUUCAACCGUAGCUACAUUAAAUUUUUUAAAAAACUUAACAAGAUCAUUAAUUACAACCCAAUCAGAAUCAAGUAGCAUGCAAUCGGCAGAAUCAGCAAAUGAACCACAAUGUUGGUUAAAAGCUAAUGUAAUAGGAACUCUAUAUUUAUAACAAGUUUUUAAAAAAUCAUACGUAUAAUUCCAUCUAAUAUCAAUUUCCUCAGGCAUCAAUAUCGGUGCAAGUCCAUUUUCUUGACAUUUAACUUUAAAUUCUUUAAUUCUCAAUCUACGAUUAUUUCCUUGUAUAAAACCAACAACAAGACAGAUUUUUUNNNNNNNNNNNNNNNNNNNNNNNNNNNNNNNNNNNNNNNNNNNNNNNNNNNNNNNNNNNNNNNNNNNNNNNNNNNNNNNNNNNNNNNNNNNNNNNNNNNNNNNNNNNNNNNNNNNNNNNNNNNNNNNNNNNNNNNNNNNNNNNNNNNNNNNNNNNNNNNNNNNNNNNNNNNUUAUAGCAGUCUUGUUGUUAGAAGCGUUAUCAAAAGCGAUACAUAAGAUUUUAUUUUCGAUACCAUAAAAUGCUGCAACUUUAUGUAUCGAGUCAGCAAUAAAUUGUCCAGUAUGUUUACGAUCUUCAUCAUAUAAAAAAGCAAGAAUACGUUUUUGCAUCACAAAAUUACUAUCCAUCCAGUGACAAGUAACGGUUAAAUAAUCAUUUUUAUUUAUAGCACGACCAAGAUCAGAAGUUAGGGAUAUUCUACAUUGAAUAUUUUUUAACAAUGUAGAUAAAUAAAAAUAAUAUUGUGAAUGAAGUCUAAAAAUAUCAGACCGACAAGUACUUCUAGGAAUACCAUUAAAUAUACGAUUAUAAAUUGCUUGAAUAUAAUGAAUAAAAGCAUCAGAAGAAUGAAAACUAAAAGGCAAACAACCUACAGCUACCAUUUUUGCUAUUUCUUCCCGGUCCCUCAAUUUAUUAUACUUCUUCAUUACGUGACCGGUUGUUAGGUCCAUUCUAGUUUGUGUGGGCCCACCAACAGCCUCACCACCUUGUGCAAUUUUUAACCCUCUUUCGUGGUCUUCAGCUAAAUGUCUCAUUAACGUACCUGUAACCCCUUGCUUGACUCCUCUUUUAUGCUUAUAUAUUUUUUGACAAAUAUUGCAUUGCACCUCAGUAUCUAAUAUACGUUCAAAAAAUUUCCAUGCAACACUAGUUUGUUUACAACCUCUUGGGGCACGGGGAGGACGGAGAGGGAGAUUAACCGAUUCGAAUCUAACGUUAGCAUUUCCUACUUCGGGUGUCUCACCAAUAUUUUCAUCAUCCACAUCUAAAUCAACCGCAUCUACUUUAUUUUCUUCUUCUAUACCAUAAUUUUUCUGAACUUCUAAAUAAUCCAUAUCAUGAGCACCUACACCUAUUUCUUCCUCAAAAGGUUGACUAAGGGGUACCGGAGGCGAAGGUACACGGGUAUAUCUAGUACUUGAAGUACCUCUACCGCUAGUAAUUCGCUUUUUGCUAGCACUACCACUUUGGGAUAAAAAAAUUUGACACUUUUAUCGAGGUUUCUUAAUAUAUCCAUAGUAUAAAUCAAACUAAAAAAUAUUCAAAAUACACAAAAAGUAAUAAAAAUAAAUAUUCAACAAUUAAUACACUAAUUAUAAAUUAAAAGUAAGAGAUGGAACGACAAUAUCAAAUUUUGAAAGUAUCCGAAGGUUGCGACUUUAGAAACUUCCACUCGUACUUAGUAAUCGCCAAAUUAAAAAAAUUAAAUUGAGCACUUUAGAAAUUAAAUAUAUAGAAUAUUUGAGAAUUGAGAAAUGAGAUUUGAGACUUCAGAGGAUGAAAAAUUGUGUGGAAAAUGAUUUGAAAGUGUAAGGUAUUUAUAAAAAUAUUUUGGGCUUAAAAUAUGAUUUUAAAUAAGAAAAAACUUUUUUUUUAUAUUUGGGCCCAAAAUAGCCUUUAUAACCGUUGGGCCAACGGCUAGUUUGGCCCAAUUUUCCAAAAUCCUAAAAAAAUAAUAAUAAUAAUAAUAAAUAAAUAAAUAAAUGGGCUUAUCCGGGCGUGGGCCGAGCCGGUUAACCGACGGGCCCUAAUCGGGUUGAGUCCGGUCCGGGUUAACUAGGCGCAAAUUCAAAACCCAACCGAAUCGGGACCCGGGACCCGGGCCCUUAAAGCCCUUGGGCUUACCAAACUGGGUCAAAUCGGGCCGGUUUCCUUUAGUGGGCCGGUUAAAAUCGGCCCGUUUGACACCCUUAAACCUGACUAUAUAACCGAGAUGACAUAUUUUAAGAACUAAAAAUUACACAAAUACACAACUUAUGUUUUCAAUAUUACAAAAAAUCCCAACUCUCUAAACGUAAUACAAAAAUCCCAACAUAUACACAGAAUGCUAUGUAUAUGUCGGUUAUAUUAUGUAUAUUAAUAGGGAGAUAGAUUAAAGUAAUUAAAAAGUGGGAAAGAUUGUAAUUACUUCCCAAAAGGUCGGUAUUUAUGUUAUUUAUACUUUUAAGAAUAGAUGAUCCACCUCUCCAUCCGGUUGGGAGAGGCUAACUCGAAUAACACCACAAAAUUCAAGGUGAUAUCUUUUUACCGUAAAAAUUGUCAAUUUUUAAAAAAUGUUUUGAAUUAUUGAAACUAUUGUACAUAUUGUUGUUGGAAACACUUUUAUUUGGUUUGGUAAAUUCAUAUUUGAGAAGUAAUUCCAAUGUUCCAUAAUUGAAUCAUUUACCUAGCAAGGUAUAUAUCUUUCAAUAAUACCAUAUAGAUAGAUUCAUUUAAGAUUCGUUUAUUUUGUUAGGAUUAAGACGUCUAAAUCUGAUUACAUGUUUGAAUUUUAAAAUAUGUAUUAAGAUAAAGAUUUUUGAAUCUAAAUAUGCAUUUAAAUACAGUCAACCCUGUGAUCUAUAGUGGCAUCAUUUGUCCGAAAAUAUCAUAUAGUUGCUAUAGAGAGGUGUUGUUAUAUAUGUAUACUGGUAUUUGACAUUCAAUUCUUAUUUAGAUGUUAUAAACAAAAAGUAUGCAAAAUUAAAAAGAUCAUGAAUAUAAAAAAGGCAAACAUUAGUAAUUUUUUCCUCGUGUAGUUGUGAAAUAACUGAUGUGCACCAUUUAAAUAGAAUUUUUCCAUUAAAUUAGAUAUUCGUACUUUAAAUUUACUGUGUGUAUGAUAUUAGUGAUGAUUACUAUAAAUAUUUUGAUAUUUUAUUUUGUACAUAAUAUAUUUCUUACAAAAUAUUAUUACACAUUUGAGCAUGUUGUUACAGAGAAGUAAUUUUACCACUAUAAUUAACGACAAUGUUGUAAUUAUAGAUAGGAUGAUAUUAUAGAGAAGUAAAAUAUAACAUGAAAAAUCGAUUCCAAAAAAGAAUCAAGACACUACAAUAAAAUAUCGUUCCAACUAGAUGACGUUACAAAGAGGUCUAACUAUUCUCUAUUUUACAUUAAGUUUCUGAAGAUUAAAUAAUAAAGACUUUUUAUCUUCCAUAACAUUUGAAUGUAUAAAACUCAUCUUUAUUUAAGAUUCAAUAAAUAUGAAAUUCAACUGAAAUACUAAUAAAGAUCGGACCUUAUCCAACGCAAAAGAAUUCGCUGUUUGACUUACAUAUAAAUCGUUGGUUUGCUCAAAUAAAUUGAAAUAAUGACACUUGUGUUUGGAACAAAUAAAAUGAGACCAAAGUAAAACGUUAUUUGCGGGCAACAAAGGAAAAAAUGAAUGGCUAUCACAUAUGGAACUUACAAUAUAAAUAGACCAAAUUCACAAGCAAAACAUCAACAUCCCUCCAAUGUUCUUUUAAUAAAACUUGUUUCCUAUUUUUCUCUCCUCUCUUUGUUUCUUUCGAUCCGAUCGAAAGAAAGUUUGAGAGGAUCAAAAAACAAUAAGAAAUACGAGAGGAGAAGUAAAUCAAAAAAAAAAAAAAAAUGGAUAAUAAGAUGAGGUGUGUGUUAGCAAUUCUGCUGGCAAUGACUUGCAUCUCAGUGAAUGGAGAGGAUCCAUAUUUGUUCCACGAAUGGAAUGUUACUUAUGGCACCCUUUCUCCUCUUGGUGUGCCCCAAAAAGUCAUUUUAAUCAAUAACCAAUUCCCAGGACCUAGAAUUAAUGGCACAUCCAACAACAACGUUCAUGUCAACGUGUUCAACCAUUUGGACGAACCACUCCUUUUCACAUGGAAUGGUAUCCAACAAAGGAAGAACUCGUGGCAGGAAGGAACCCUUGGUACCAAUUGUCCAAUCCCCCCAGGAAAGAAUUACACCUAUCGUUUCCAGGUCAAGGAUCAAAUCGGUAGCUACUACUACUACCCUACCACCGGCUUGCUUCGUGCUGCUGGUGGUUAUG
rnacentral:lncRNA from 1 species